UUUUGCCCAAAGUACCUCUAAUCUGAAAUCCAUUAAGUUAGCAAGUCCGAAGCAAAUAGGUUAAAUUCGGGCAGAUUUUAAGCUACUAAAGUACAAAUUCACUAUGUCUGUUAAGCAACUGAAGAAAGAAUAACAAAUUUGUGGCAAAAAAAUGCAUGCCUUCAAAUAUGAAGAAAAAUAACUAUCUUUUUCCCAUGGCCUGUGGGCAUGAAGCUGGCCUACUACAAUCUGCUAUCUCAAUAUCAUUUCCAACUGUGCAGGACCUGGUGAAAUAGAAAUAGAAUAAUUAUAUCUUCACGAUGAACCUUCCCUAUCAGAGCAGGAAUGGUAGCACAGUUUGUCAUGGACUAUGCCAAAAAAAAAGUAGCUGCAGGCUUACCAACAAAUUUUGAAACCAGCUUGUAAUUGCGGUGAUGCACAAAUAUCUGUGUUGCAAAAUAGGAACAGUCAACAUCAAGUUAUUAUAUGGGGAAUCACCCAAACUAUAUAGAGCAGAAUAAAUGCCGCUGGAAUACUCAACAUCAAGUUCUUAUAUGGGGAAUCAUCCAAACUAUAUAGAGCAGAAUAAAUGCCGCUGGAAUUCCCUGCUUGCAUUUAUGCAAUUGAUAAAGCAAAAAAUAAGACCCUAAGCUCAUUACUCAUUAGAUGGGAUUGCGACCAAAUGCAUCAUAAUUAGAUGGAUUUGUCACCUUCAAGGAGCGCAUUCCUGCCGUACUGACGGUCGGCAUCGAAGCUGCCGAGGCCUACCAGCAAUGUCUAGGGUUUGUGCGUCGUGGCUUGCUGACGCAAGUCUUGCCGAGCAUCUCGCAGCAUGGCACCGCCGGGCAUCCGCGCAUGAGGUGGGCUAGCAGUUGUGCUGCGCCGGCGGAGCUAGGAUGUCGGUGAGCAGGAGGUCACGUGGUCAUGGAUCUCAAGCGGCAGGAACUGAUUGUCAUCCUCGUCUCCGGCAAAAUCAAAGGUGAAAUCUUUGCGCCUGACAUUUGCAGCCAUGAGGGAGCGGAAGAAGAAGAUGACCUUGUGGACGUCAAACACCCAAGUGGUCGCGCCCUCAUCCCCAGUGGCCCCUACCACCACGAAUGCAUCGUGCACCUCGCGGCGGCCGCAGUGGAGCACAAGCGGACUGGGGGUGUUGCAGACGCUCGAUGUACCAAGGCCUAACCGUGCCGUCGUUGAUGCAGCUGCCAUGUCCAACGGCGCGAAUCCACUCGUGACAUUGACGCAGAUCUGGAUGGGAGAGAGAUAGAGGAGGGCGAUGGGAAGAAGAGAGGCUCGCGAUGGAGAGAAGAAAUCAUUUUAUUUUAUUUUUCUCGGAGACCUACAGAGUAAGACCGUGAGUCUGAGAGGAGGCGUUUUUAUUUUUUUGCCGGACAAAUAUAAUCUGAGACAGGGUUCGAACUCUGCAUGCCGCGCGUGCGGCGUGUGAGUGAGCGGGGGUGGGAAGGCCGGGUGAGAAGCUUGGCUUCCCACUUCCGAUCGUGGCCAUCAGUUUUGGUGUAGGUGUUUUAUUAGCCAUUGAUUUUAAUGGUGUAUAAUUUUUGUGUGUAUUUUUCUGGGUACACAAUGGUUAGAGGCUCUUAGCGGGGGACGUUUUACUGAGUGGACCAAGUAUAAUUUAAGGGUUCUAUUAUAGUAGAGAUUAUGUCGUGCAACCACACGGCCAAGUAAUUGAAUAAAAAUCAUGCUACCUAACAGUGCCUCAGGUGCUCGAGCUAGAAAUACAUCUUUUCUACAAAUUCCAAACCUUUUUUUAAGUAUUCCUGGCAAAUUUUUCUGCUCUGUUUCAUAGUGCUGUCCUCUAAUGCAGUGUGCCAUUGUUGGCUUCGAUUUUCACAAACCUGAGCCAGCCCAAGAUCUUACUAUAGCCGUUGUGUUUUCUACUCUGCCAGAGGCUACCAGACUACCAUAGUAGUUUCAUAGAUGUAGGAUCGAUUCACAUUUAGAUAGGCAAUCAGAGGGGGUGAAUGAUUGUGGAAGUUCAAAAACUAAUUUUAAAACUUUCCCCUAAACUCAAAACCAAAAUACACCUCGUUUUGAGUUCUCGGCAGAAAAUAAUCUCGACCAAACACCAUUGAUCCAAUUGAUCUCAAACUUUUACAGGUUGAAGUAUAUGAAAUUCUUGAACUAACCCAACUUGAAUCAAGUCAAUUGUAUGUCUAAAACUCGAGAUAUAAAAAUAACAAGCACGUUGUGUCCGAUGGUGCCGAGAAUUGAUCAAAGCUUAAUUUCGUGAUUAUUCAAAAUCAUUAAAAAUAUUAAUCAAUAAAACUUUUCAGAUCAACGGCUUGAUUCCCUAGCACAAUUUUAGAUAGAUCAAAACAUAUAUCUUUCAUGACAAUAAGAAAUCGUUCUUAAAUAAAAUGCUAGGCAUGCAGAUCAAAGAGCAAGAUAGUUAUUUAAAUGUUUGGCCCGUAUAUAUGCAUAGGGAGAGAGAGAGCAGGGCAGAUACAUGACUAGUGUUGCUGCCUCUAGAACCUCAUGUAUCGAUAAACAGAAUAAUAAGAUAACAAUCAAAAUUCAAUUUAUUUCUGGGAUGUUUAGCAACUCUUUUCUAAUCUAGCAUCUUCUUUGUAGCUUUUCUAGUUCCACUGCUAAGACUACUCUUUUCUCCAUUGUAAAUUUGAUCAUUUGUCUUAUUCAAAGAAUUACGUAAAAUAUCAGUUCUUUUAUAGUGACUUGGUUUAUUAAUAAAAAUUCUUUAAAAAUAACUUAAAUUUGACUAUGUUUACAAAAAAAUUUUGAAUAAGACGAGUAAUCAAACUUAAAAUCAAAAAAGUCGAACAUUUAUUCUAUAAAAAAAUUAAUUAAUAAAGAACGUAAUGAUAUUUAGUUGGUAUCAUAAAUAUUAUUAUCCUACCAUAUAAAUUUGGUUAAACUUGAGAUUCCCUAUAUAAAUAUAUAGGGAGUAGUUUGGGAUGUGCUAUUUUUAAAAUAUUAAUUUUUUGCUAAAAUAAAAGAAACUAUAUGGUGGGCUCCGUCCCACCCAUCAGUGAUAAAGAAAGUUACCGUGCGUGAGCUGGACUAGAGAGAAUUCAUCACUGAACAUGAUACCAAACCAGGGGUAAAUACAGUAAGGUUGAGGAACAAGAAAAUUACAGUCGACGGCAGUACGUAGGUGCGUGUAAAUGUAAAAAGGCAAGACAACCCGAUGUUUUCCCUCACGGAUUCCCCGUGCGGCGGUUCUUGGAAGAAGCGGAGGCCGGCGGUACGCCAGGAACCACCGGAGGGAGAAGCGGCACGGGGGGAAGAAGCUGGGGCGGCGGCGGCGGCGGAGGCGGGUUAACCAACGGCGGCAACAACGGCGGUACUAUCGACGACGGCGGCGGCUGUGGGACAAGCGGUGGCAGGACGGACGGCGGAGACGGAGUAGGCAGGAGCGGCGGCACGAGAGACGGCGGGGCCGGCGUGACCGGGUUCGGCGGGAUUGGCACGCCGCCGAUGUUGGGCGGCUCGGGUACCAGCGGGACCGGCGGGAAGAAGAUGCCCUUCUGGCUGCAUAGCUCCGGGCGGACGGCGAACGCGCCGGCGGAGAAGAUGCGCGCGCCGCCGCCGCCGUGGUGGUGGUGCUUGUUGUGGUUGGUGUGGGAGAUGAGAUGGAGCCCGCGAGCGGAGGUGGUGGCGACGCAUGGCGGCGCCUGAGGGAGGUGCACCGCCACCGAGCAGGACGUGAUGGACUGGAGCUUCUGGCUGCUGCUGCUGGGCUCGUGCCGCUCGAGGUGGACAUGGAACUUGCCGCUCCGGUCGGUGACGACGUCCUUAUGGAUGACCGGCCGGCCGUUCCCGUCGUGGCAGCGGACUCCGACCAGGGUGCCUGCAUGCACGCGGCGGUGUGUUAGAAGAAGCAGGCAUAGCAAGCACAAGGCGCCUUAACAUUCAUCAUGCGUCCGGUGAAAGCAAGCUGCACGCGCCACCUGAAACGGCGGUGGUAGCCUCGGAGCUGCUGGAGUGGACGACGACGACGACGGAGCCGACGACGGUGGCGGUGGCGACGGCGGCGGGGGUAGGGGCGGUUAGUAGUGGACGAGCGUGCUUCCGGCCAUGGUGAUGAGUGGCGGAGUAGCAGCAGUGGAAGCAAUCGAGCUGCACCAAAACAAGGAGCAACCAAGAAGUGGUGUUCAUUGCAGCGGCUGUGCGUGGUGGUACCUUAGCUAGCUGGCUGCUAUAGGAGGCACGCCGUUGUAUUUAUGCAAGCAUGAUGCUGUUGGAUAGGAGCAGUAGAGAUGUCGAUUUCUUGUGUAAAUGGACGUAGGCGAAGAAGACACGUACGUUGUCGUCGUCGGAUUCCAUUGGACAUGAACAAAUGCGCGCGCGGCAACUUGAAAGGAAUUUACGCAGGUAUAUAUACUCCCUUUGUCUUGAAAGGUUCAGUAUAUAGAGUUGUUCUAAAUUAAAUUUUUAAAACUUUGAUCAUUAUAGUAUCAAGUUAAUAUUAAUUUAUCAUAGAAUAUAUUUUUAUAAGCUCAUUUUAUAUCAUAGAUAUUGAUGCACUUUUCUAUAUAAAGUUGGUCAAACCUAAAAAAGUUUGACUGACACAGAUUCUAAGAUUUAAAAUUUUCAGAGACGGAAGUAGUAUAUACUAGUAGUACAGUUAAGUAAAUCCACACGCCGCACAAUGGAUAAAAUUAGCUGAUAUGUAUGGAACUUUAAUGCCCGUAGUACCUUCGAUCUGAAUUCACCUCACAAAAACUAUUUUAGUUAAGUUUACCUAAACUUAAAGAACUGGGUAUUAGCAAUUAUGAUAUCAAAAUUAUAUGAAAAAUAUUUUGUAACUUAUCAUGCUCAUUUAAGAUUGUAUAAAAAUUACCAUGGUUCCUAUACAAUCUUGGGAGAGUUAUGAUAAUCGGACUUAAGAUAACUUAUAUUAAAGUUCACUAUAUUUUACUUGUGAAUGGUGCACUUAUGUAGAAUGGUAACGUUUUGUAGGCUAGUAUGAACGCCGCAAUAGAACGCAUGGCCGGCCGGAACGAACGUAGCCACCUUUUGCGUCGUCCUUGAUACUGCCAAAAGACACGCGUAGACGAAUGGGACGACGCAGAUGUUUUUUGGGAGGUUCUGAGCCUUUGUUUAUCUCUCUGCCUGUGCAUUCUGCGGCCUAUAUCGUUUCAUGGCCUGGUUUCUGGCGUUUUCUGCCCUCACGGUCACGGGCUCUUGUUGCAACGUACUAUCACUAUCCUAGAUACGACUAUAUAGCCAUAUAAGUCUCGGCCUUGUUUAGUUUACUUCGAAAUUCAAAAACUUUUUAAGAUUUUCUGUCACAUCAAAUCUUAUGGCACAUGUAUAAAAUACUAAAUAUAGAAUAAAACAAAAACUAAUUGCACAGUUUAAUUUAUCUGUAAUUUACGAGACAAAUCUUUUGAGCCUAGUUAGUUUAUGAUUGGACAAUAUUUGCCACAAACAAACGAAAAUACUACAGUACCAAAUUCCGAAAAGGAACUAAACAAGGCCCUAGUAUAGCAGUCGGCAGGAAAAUUUCAUUCUUUUUUGGCAAAAAGAGGAGUUGGCAAAAAGAUAGAGACACUUUUUUUUAUUUUGGAUCGACGCCUGAUCCAUCUCAUAUACGUAUAACAACAGAGUUCAUAUCAUUGUUAACACAACAGAGUCCAUAAUUAUGCGAGCGAGAUCGAGCGAUGCUCGUUUCUAUGUAUGGUGGCUCUUGUAGAUCAUUAUCUUUUUAAUCAAUUUUCACAACUAUAUUCUCAAAAAUAUAAGCAUAGAUAGUCAAAUGGAUGGUGUUUAACAAAUUGUGUUGUGUCAUGCAUGUCAUCCAUGGGCUCUGCCUUCUGCCCAAGCACUGCUCGCCGCAAUAAGCCUACCGAGCUUUGUGUCUUGUCACGUUGAGAUAGGCCUGAAUUGAAUGUGUUGCCGGAAGAGAGAAUCAGGGAAAGGGAGAGGUCAUGGAAGAAGCUCAUGUGGUGCUUGAUUACUCAGAGGAGAAGCCUUAGGGGGUGCAUGCAGGCUCCUUGACUAGUUGGGGGAGCAUUAUUCGACACAAGAAGGCGAUGUCGGAGGAGAGUUCUCUCAGGGGAGUCGAUGUGACAUCAGGGGAGGGAAGAAGAUCAAGGUCCGAGAAGGAAAGAGGAGCGUAGGAGUCAAUGUGGGGGAGGAGGGGGAGAGGAGCAGAGGAGCUAAGGCGGGAUCAAGGUUGUGGGAGGGUAGAAGAGUAGGGAGAUGAUACACAUCGGGGAGAAUGGGAGGUGCUGUGCGAAGAGUCACGCGGAGGAGACGGAAAGAAGAAAGCCAGGAUUCAUAGUGAGUAGUUAUUUAUACAUUAAAAAGGUAGCAAGUCAUAUCAAGCCAAUAAGUGAUCAGAUCAUUCUAGGCUAACAUGUCAUAAUGAGGUAGCAGCUCACUCAUAGCCCACCCAUCGAGCUAGGCCAGCACGGUCCUAACGCUCAUCGGGCCAUGAGUCGUGCCUAUAUGCCUUGAGCCUUAUAGCCAUCUAUACACGAAAGAGUCUAUAUACCUCGAUGGUUAUAAGUAUUUAGUAUCAUCUUCAGGUUCUGGGUUAGGUGAUUUUCUCAGCCAGUAAAGCUGAGUCAAACCAUGUCAUCGUGGUAGCCAUUCCCGUUGUUUUUAGAGGACUGAGUUGUAGCUCAGUUGGCUUGGAUCGCUAGUGUGUGUCCAACCCGCCCGCGUGCGAAGCCUGGCUUCGACGUCGGUGCCUUACCUGAGAACAAUGGUUUCCUAAAUAUCUUCUGUUGCCUAACAUGGAUCUCUCAGCCGUGUUUCAUAACCUACUAGGUAUAAGAUGUAGGUCUAGCACUCUAGCUUGCGCACUAGGGGUGUGUGAGUGAGUGAGUGGAUAGCGUGUGUGUGGUGUGUGUUGGUGCGUGAGUUCAGACAUGGCUUGUACUAGGAGGUUGAGGUAAUAAAAAAAGUCUACAUCUUAUACAUGUAAGAUCAUAGAUGACGGAGUGCUCAUAUAGUAUAACGUAUAGAUCGAAUGGUCAUUAUGAAGGGAUAACCUCCUAUAAAUUUCUCGCUCGAUGAUAAAAAAAAAAGAGAGGCUGGGCCAGUUAAACAAAGUUGGGGCAGGUUCGAAGCCUGGCCCAAAUAAGCCCACCCAGCCCAUCAUAGUUCCUGAUUGCACGAUGAGGACGAAAAUCUUGUCGUGAAGCGGGUGUCGCAAACCACACGUUCCAGAGUCCUCACACAACACGAUCGCUCCCACUCGAGUGGCCAUGCUCCAACUCGCCCCCACCCCGCGGCCGCCGUCGCCGGCGGCCGCUGGCCGGCGUAGGCCCCGUCACUCCACCUCCAUCGCAUGCAUCUGCUGCUCGAGCGUGCACGAGCUGGAGCGGUCCCCGAGCCCGCGCCCGGGCGCGUCGUCGCUGCCGCCGCUGCAGGAGGCGAAGCGGGUGGUGCUGGUGCGGCACGGCCAGAGCACGUGGAACGCCGAGGGCCGCAUCCAGGGGAGCUCCGACCUCUCCGUGCUCACGCCCAAGGGGGAGUCCCAGGCCGAGACCUCCCGCCAGAUGCUCCUCUCCGACUCCUUCGACGCCUGCUUCACCAGCCCGCUGGCGCGCUCCCGCCGCACCGCCGAGAUCAUCUGGGAGGGGCGUCACGACCACCUCAUCCCGGACUCCGACCUCCGAGAGAUCGAUCUCUACUCGUUCCAGGUUUCCAUUUUUGUUCUUUUUUUUUCUCAUCACUGUUUAAUCUGUGACUCUGUGAGUCCGUGUAGUGUUGUGCUGGCAGGGUGCUUGUGGGAAUGCCUGGCCAAUUCUGUCUGCUUGUUAAUGCUUUGAUGGAUGCUUGCCAGGUGCUUGUGAAAAUUCCUGACGAUCUGGCGAUUCUGGUUUCCAGGGACUGCUCAAGCAUGAAGGGAAGGAGAGGUACGGGGUUCUGUACCGGCAGUGGCAGAAGAAUGCAGCCAACUUCAGCAUUGACGGCCACUACCCGGUGCAGGAGUUGUGGGGCCGCGCACAGAACUGCUGGGAGAGGAUUUUAGCACACCAGGGCAAGUCAGUGCUUGUGGUUGCGCACAAUGCAGUGAAUCAGGCACUUGUUGCCACCUCUUUGGGUGGGUGUACUCCUACAUUUGAGCAUGGAUCGCAGUUUGUUAAGUGUGAUUGAAACUCAUUUGUGUUUUUCUCACGAUUAUGUUUAGGACUUGGUGCGGAGUACUUUCGGGUUUUGCUCCAGAGUAAUUGUGGUGUCAGUGUGCUGGACUUCACCCCACAGACUGCUGGAGGUCCUCCUAGUGUUUGUCUUAACCGCUUAAAUCAGGUGAGGGUAACUUUGUUCUCAUCACUGACUCGUAUGGUCAUACCUAGCAACGCCAACAGAACAUGUAAGGACUAAGUAGUACUAGAUUCAUUUUUUUGUUCAAAAAGAUAAUAUUCUUGUAAGGAGCAACAUGUACUACUUACCAGUUCUGUUAGCAUGUCCACUUCGUAUCAACUUAGAGAUCAAAUAAAUUCACAAGACAAUACAUGAAAAUGGAAGGGUCAAACAAUUAAAACAUGGAUUAAUCUUGCCCCCAAAUGUAUCUUGUACAGACCCCAAAUUCUCCUGUUGCUGGGGGAAGUUCUGCUGGAAGAAAGACAAGCAAGAGGAUCAUUCUGGCCUGUCAAGGGGCUACACAAAGCAGUUCUGAGGUAUGGGGUUUUGCACUUUUACUUGUUCAUGCCUGUGUUCUAUCAUGAGGAAGCACCGACAAUUUGUUUGGCAAACCACAUUGUAAUUCCUGAAACUGCAUUCAGAAAGUUGUGCACACGGACCAACUUGGUCUUAAUUGGCAUGAAAACUUGGUCUUAAUCGACACCAUUAAUUGUUCAUUGCUUUGGAUUCCAGAUUAGCUUAGGUGGAAUGGGAUAUGCACCGCUGAACAUGCUUGGGACUAUACAGGUACUUUGUUUGUUUCUUGCAUCAUAAUUUGUUUCCAACACAAAAGUUGAGCUCUUUUCGGGACAAAUACUUUCAGUCUCAGAAGACUGCAGAACUACUACUGGAUUUGAAGGUCAACGGCAUUAUCUGUAGCCCACAAGUUGCAGCUGUUGAUACUGCAACUGUUAUAUGUGAGGUGACCAUAAUCUGAACUAAACAUGAAGUUCUUUAAAUUCUGUUCCCUUCAGCCUAUUUUCGGCCUGCUUUAUCUGAUCCUGUUGAGUCAAUUGCAGGUCCAAGAGGCUGCAGAUUGCUUAGGUGCUGAUUGUGUACCUCGUUACGUAGAAAUGAAAAGGUUGAUAGAACUUGAAAUUGAAGAUGCCUUUCAAGCAAAGCAGAAGGUUAGACUGUUGCCAAUUCCUAUGAUUUUUCUAAGUGUCACUUAUUUUUGCUACCGAUUUGAUUAUUUGAAGAUCUUUAACUUAGCUUUGACAUCUCCAUGAGCUUAUCCCAUGGAAAACUGUAACAAGAGUAAUCGACAAUUCUUUGUUUUUGUUCUUCAGAGCUUUGGGGAAAUAGUUCGAUCUGGUUGGUUGAGCGGCAUGGAAUACAAAUUACUGGAGCGACUAUGGGCUCAGUCCAAGAAUGCAUGGCAGGCACUGCUAAAUGAAUUACCAGAUGAUACAUCAGAACAUGUCCUUGUGGCCGUAGGUCAUCCUGCCAUUCACCUAGCUCUAAUCUGCCGGUGUCUUGAUUUGCCAAUGGAGUACGUGUCGUCUUUUCACCUGGACGAUGGCAGCAUCAGUGUGAUGGAUUUCCCAGAUGGGCCGAAAGGAAGAGGUAUCAUCAGAUGCAUAAACUACACAGCCCAUCUGGGAAGAUGGUCAAUACCCAUUACAAGGCCAAUGGAGAACGAUGAAGAAUUCUAACAUGGUAAUUAACCCUCUGUAUAGCAUCCUUCAGAAACACAUCUCAUGAGUAAAUACCUCAUACUGCUGUACAUAUAAUUUUGAUCUCAACAUCGCAAUAUUUAUGUACAUAAAAAGUAUAUUUAUUAUCCAUUUGUUCAGUUCAAAAAACAAAAGAACUCCAUGUCCUGCUGCGCGCUCAUCAGAGUCUGAGAUACUGACAGCAGUCUGAGAUACUGACGGUUGUGUCAACAAGCAAAUGAUGAAUACAUGGAUUCAUCGGACAAGAAGAGAUUUCUGACAAAGGCAGGUGUCUUUUCUGCAUGGGCGAAGGUUCACAGGUUGAGCAUGAGCAUGCCACAUGUCCUUUCUGCUGCCACGUGUAGCCCUUCAUCUUCCAGCAGCACUGCACUCUACAGGCUACUGCAACACCUCGAGCUUUCGGCUAGUAUGCUCCAUUCCAUAUGUUGCUACAGCUGUAAGCCUCUAAUGGAGUACUCAACGCCGCACCAGGUGUCCAGGUACCAGCACGGUUACUCCGGCGAUGGCCACUACACGGGCCGGCCAAGAAGCACAGCCGGCGGUGAAUCCGACGACGCCCUCCUCUUCCUUGCCGUCCCGGCAGGCUGGCUCAUCCGCCUGCUCGCCUUCCUCGGGGAGCUCGUCGCGUCUGCCAUCCUCAGCCUCGUCUUCCCCGUCGCCGCUCUCGUCGGCGCAUUGCGCGCCCUCCCUGCGGCGGUCGCGUCCAACCUCCGGCGCACGGCGCGAGGCCUGCUCGCCGCGGCGUGCACCUUCGUUGCCCUUGUGGCCGCGCUGCUCAUGUCCGUGCUCCUCGGCUUCGUUCUUGUCCGGCACUGGGUCGAGGACCCGGUCACCUUGCGCCAGCAGCUCUUCUUCGACUACACGGAGGCGCAGCCCAGCGCCGCGGUAGUCCUUGGUGGUGGAGCUCGAGGCGCCGCUGCUGGCGCCGUGCUGCCGGCGGGUCACUCCGUCAGGGUGUCCAUGGCGUUGCUGCUUCCUGAUUCCUACCACAACCGUGAGGUUGGCAUGUUCCAGGUACAUGCACUGCGCAUGCUUGUUAAUUACCAAAUCUCUGAUCCGGUAAACUCGUUUGCUGAUGUGUGCAUCUCAUGGCGAACUCGCCUUGUUCUGCAGAUAAAAGCAGAGGCGGUCUCUGUAAGUGGAAUCACCAUGGCCUCAGCUACACAGCCAUACAUGCUGAGGUACAAGAGCACCCCUGUCCGGCUGGCGCAGUCUGCGCUGCUGUGCGUGCCACUCACUCUGGGCAUACGCAGCGAGACCCAGGCCGCAAAUCUCAAGGUGUUGCAGUACAGGGAAGGCCGCGGCCGGGAUAAGAGGACAGGGGCCAUCAGAGUCUUGCUGCAGCCAAGAGCUGCGACUGUGCAGCUGCCCCAGGUGUACAGAGCAGAGGUGGUUGUGCAGACAGCUCUUCCGUGGGCAAAGAGCCUGGCACGCGGCUUGAAGUGGACACUCUGCGUGUGGGUGUCUUCCUCUGUGUACUUCGCUCUCAUUGUUCUUGCCGUUUGUUGGGCCCGGCCUCUUGCGGUGUCCGCGAGGAAUAGGAGGCUGUCUGAGCUUCAGGUCGAUGGAAAGAUACCAUCUGAUUUGGGUUCAGGAGAUAUUGGUGAAAGCUCAAGCAAGGAGGUGUCUGAAGAUUUUGCAGUGAAGUGGAGGGAGAGAAGAAGCAGGUGGAAAUCACAGUUUCGAACGCGAUUACACGGAGGCAGCAUGGAGCUCGAGUCCACUGAGGGUUCAACUUCUAAUAUUGCAGUGGUGGAGACAAGUGAGGCCAUGAAUGAUCCUUGAGAAUCUGAAUGUAUUUGUAUACAAUCGUCAGUAUCUGAUGAUAUCAACUAAUUUUAAUCAAGGGUGUUGCUGUGAAAUUUGUGUUUGUUGUUACCACUAGACCUCUCUGUGUACUGUUGAUGUGACCCAAAGGCUUCUAUACUACUCUAAUUUCAGACCAACGCAUAUAAUAACAAAAACAUGCAUGGAUGAAUCAAAACUGCAUGAACUUCAUGGAAGAUGGAACCUUGGGUCUCCUUGCUCAUGUGGCUCCAACACUUUAGUUGUUUGGGCGACCUAUAGUUUCAGGAAAAUUGUGGAGUGUCCCUUUCAUGGUUGCAGAAACUGCACAUAGGAGCAUAUUUCUACUUCUAUGUGCCAGUAUUUUGUAAGUUCAGUCGCUCUCUCAGUAAUCUGUGCAUUUUUUCCACUCUCUGGACAAUAAGUUAUCUGAUUCAAAUCAUUUGCUUUCCUGCAAAUAUGUUUUUUUUUUCUGAUGGUCACCGGGGGGGGAAACGAUCCCCACCUGAAUUUUAUUAGCCCAUGUUGGCUCAAAGGUAUAAGAAGUACACAUAGAAACACAUCGCACAGGUUAUAUUGCCAAUCCCAGGAUCUAGUCCUGGCACGGCAUGGAAAAAACUAACGCUAGCCUUGGCCUUGUCUUGCCAUAUUGAAGAUGGUGCACCAGGUUGCAGCUAAGUGCCGCUUCUUUCUUGGGAGCCUAGCUUGCCAUUGUUCAGCCGUCCGCUCGCAGGACAGGAGGACUUGAUCGACUGACUGCAGCUCUGAUCUGAAGACGGCGCUAUUCCUUGCCUUCCAGAGCUGCCAACACACUAGGGCCAUGAAGGUGGGGAAUUCCUGGGCCGGCACCUGGGCAGCCGGUGAUACAGUGUGCAAGGAGUUCAUGUCCAAGGAUAUCACCGACGAGAGACCUAGCUUCCGCCAAACUUCGUUGCCGAGUCUGCAACCCCAGAUGAUGUGUUCGGCCGUCUCGUCUUGUUGGUGGCAGACCUCACAAGUAGUGUCAGUGACCACAUGCUUCUUGAAGAGCACAACACGAGACUGUAUCCGACCUUGUAGAAGUAGCCACAUGAAAAGUUGGACCCUUGGUGGCGCAGCAUUAUUCCAGAUGAAAGAGGCUUUGUCGUCCACAGCAUUUCCCCUAGCUUUGAGCAUUCGGUAGAUGGCUCCGCUGUCCAAGUUCUCGUCUUCUUUGCAGAAAAUUGAGACACGCCUGUCCAUUUCGUCGGUGAGAGUAACAGAGGCCAAUUGAGCUCUCAGCGCCUGUAGUUCGGAGGCCGCCUGGUUAGACAACCUUGGCACCAUGGAACGCUCAAGUUGCAGUUGUAACAUCUGAUGGACCGAGGCAUUCUUGAGGGUGCAGUGUGAGUACAAAGCCGGGUAAGUGUCUUCCAGGGCUUCGUCUUGCAGCCAAACAUCUGCCCAGAACGAGCAGAACUUUCCGUUGCCGAUGGCGACCGAAGUGAGGGCUCUAUAUAGUGGCAGGAGGGAACGAAGGGUCCUCCAAUGGUCACCAUGGAUGUCUCCUGAGAGGGUGACUAUGGAGGCACGUCCUUGAACCCACGUUGCCCAGGCAGAAGAUCGGUUGCUGUGUAACCGGUGCAGGAGCUUCAGCAGCAAGCAGACGUUUUGAAUGCCCAAGUCUCGGAUCCCCAGGCCGCCAUUGUCUUUUGGCUGACUGACAUUGCUCCAGGCCACUAAGCAAGAGGCUGGCGAAGCGCUGCCAUUGACGGACCCAGACCACAGGAAGGCCCUCCUUCUCUUGUCCAUUAGUGUGAUCACCGACGGUGGUAACUGCAGCGAGCACAUGCAGUAGACUAGGAUUGAGUCGAGGACAGAGUUUACCAUCACAGCUCGGCCCAUUGUAUUGAGGAAUGAAGCUUGCCAAGAGCUUAGGUAUUUAUCUGCUUUAUGGAUCAGCGGCGUAAAAGCCGAAACUGGCAGCUUGUUGACUGAAAGUGGCAAACCCAGGUAGUUUUGUGGGAACCCUUCACGCCUGCAGCCCAGGAUGUUGACCGCAGCUGUGAUUGUAGACUCGGGGACAUGGAUGGGAACCAAAGUGCUCUUGUGAUAGUUGAUGUUGAGACCGGAAAAGCUCCCGAAAUGGUCGAGGAUGUCCUUCAGCUUGGCAGCCCCUUGUGACGAAGCCUCAAACACAAUUAAGGUGUCAUCCGCAUAUUGCAGAACUGCUGGAGGUAGAGUGUUAUCUGUCGGAUGCUUGAUGUCAUUGCAUUCCUUUAUCAUCCUUUGAAGCGUUUCUGCUACUAGGAGAAAUAGGUACGGUGAGAGUGGGUCUCCCUGCCUUAAGCCCCGUUUGCAGGAGAUCCAAGGUCCUGGACAGCCAUUGACGAGAAUUGCGGACUUGGAAGUUGUGAGAAUACAACGCAGCCAGCCGCACCACCGUUCCCCGAAGCCUCUUGCCUCUAACACUUUAAACAAACCUUCCCAAUUUACAGUGUCGAAAGCCUUUGCAAAGUCAAGUUUCAGAGCAAUAGUCGGUCUUUUCCUUUUUUUGGCAGACCUGGAUAAGUUCUAGCGCAUAGAUAAAAGUAUCAGUGAUCGAUCUGCCUCUGAUGAAGCCCGUCUGGUGAAUAUCAAUCAGAUGUGGGAUCUCUUUCUGCAGUCUUGUGGUGAGCACCUUAGAUAGGAUUUUUAGUGCACAGUUCUGUAGGCAGAUUGGCCUGAAGGCAUCUACGUCGACUGCAUCUGGCUUCUUAGGUAACAAAACCAUGUGAGAUCUGUUGAUACAUUCUAACUGAGUCUGACCCCGGUGGAAGGCAUCCAUGAAGCUCAUGAAGGAGUCCUUGACAGAUGGCCAGGCCGCAGAGUAGAAGGCCGUACCAAAACCAUCCGGACCGGACGCACUGUUCUUGUUCAUUGCCUCAAUGACCGCCUUUGUUUCAGACACUGUGAAGCCACCGACCAGCUGAACAUUAGGCCUGUAGUCAUUCUGGAACAGACGUUGCAGGUUGCAGGGUGCUGAUUGUCCAGGGACACCGAUGAUUGAUUUGAAGUAGUCUGAAAGAGCAGCCGUCUUCCCAGCAUGACUGACAACCUCAGCGUCCUGGACUCGUAUCAUUCGGAUGUAGUUGCGCCUGAGUCUCUGGGUUGCAUGUGCAUGGUGGAACCUUGUGUUGGCGUCGGCUUCCCUGAUUGCUUUGUGCUUGCUUCGCUACCUCCAGUAAGCUGCCUUGUCUCUCAGGAGCUCUGUCAGUGUUUGUUGAGCCAGCCGUCUGACAUGAAAUUCCUGAGGUGACAGGUUUCUUGUUUCUUCGAAAUAAUCGAAAAGUUGUAUAAGAAAUUGGCAAUUUUGGGUGAGUUCAGUUGGUGCCCUGUUACACCGUGACCAAACCUUAGCCGCCGCCCUGGCCGCCUUGAUGCACGCGACCAGACCGCCCGCAGCGUCAGAGCGUGCCGGCGCCUGCUGCCAUGCCUGAAUAACAUUUGGAAGGAAGGAUUGCUUGCGGAGCCAACCGUUCUCAAGCCGGAAGUGGGAAGCUUUAGGGAGGUCGGUUGAGAGAGAAAGGAGAAGAGGAGUAUGAUCUGAUGUAGGUUGGGGUAAGGAGGUAAGACCGGUCAUAGGGAAAAUUUGGUUGAGUUCAUUGUUGGUGAGAGCACGAUCAAGCUUGGCGAGAACAGGGAAGGGUUGUUUGUUGGACCAGGUGUACAGCCGAUCUGAGAGCAUGACCUCACCAACUCUGAGAUCGUGGAUGGUGUCGUUGAAAGCGGUGGCAAGGGAGGAGUUGAUUCGCCCAUUGUUCUUUUCCGAUGGGCAGCGCACAAGGUUGAAAUCGCCUAGAAGGAUCCAGGGCCCAUUUACAAUAGCUGGAAGAUCACGAAGGUGUUGGAGGAAAGGGAUGGACUCGAUAUGAUCGGAAGGUCCAUAAGUGUUCGUAACCGUGAAGUCAAGAUUAGAAGCAUUGCAAGUGAAUUUGGUUGUUAAGGUGAACGGUUUGAGGAAGUGGCUGUGAAUGGUGAAAAGAGCGGGGUCCCAGGCUGUGACCAGACCACCACGAGUGCCAUCAGCCGGAGCAAAGACGAAAGAGUUAGAGAAUGUUGGCGGAAGGAAAGUUUUUGCUUUGAAGGCGUCAAUGUUAUCCAGUUUGGAUUCCUGGAUGCAGAUAACAGCCGGUCUAGCAUUUGAGAACACACCGCGAACCAAGUUGCAUUUGUCCGAGUCGCCUAAACCACGCACGUUCCAGAAAACCACGUGAAAACAACGAUUGUUCGAGUUCAUCUAGUACAAGCAGAACACCAGGAACAUACAAAGGUGGAAGAAACAACAAAGAUUACAACAAAACGAAAAGAUAAACAGGUAGGUGCAAUCCCAAGGUUGUAGCCCCAGCGACCGUUGGGGUGGGAGUGCAAGCCGCCGUUGAAGCAAAGCUUUGUCAUGGGGAACUCAGGGCGCCGGGCCGUCAACGUCGACGUUCUUGCAGUCCAGCUUUGCCGCGCUGACCAGCUUCCUCAGAUCAGCAGCACCGAUAGGCAGGUGGUUGCAAGAGAGGAUGUUCUUGGAGGAGACAUGCUUUUUGAGCGCUUUGGAGCAGGUGGAAAGGGAGUUUAGCAGAGCUUUGCGCUGCACAGCUUGGGUGGUCAUGUCCACAAACUUAGCCGGAGCCUUCGCGGCUAAGCGGGAGCUGGAACGGCGCACAGCCGGGACCUUAACCCCCGGGCGCGAGCGGCGACGACUGUAAGUGAUGACAGGUGUGCUGAGGACGCGCUCUGGCGAGUUCGCGGCCACAGGGGAGUCAACCAGCGAGAGAAUCGGGCUGGAUGGGGAAGAGUUAGCAUGUAUUUCAGCUGCUGGGGCAGAAGCAGGCAACAGGAGUAGCCUGGCGAGCAGCAAGGCAAGACCCAACACCUGAGAGGAGGUCCGCCCAGCUUGGAGCAAGGCUGAAGUAUGAGGUGCUCCAGCAGUAGGAGGAGCUCCUACAGCCAAGGUGGCCGCGCAAAGAGGAUCGAAAGCAAGGUGCCUAGCCGGAAAGGCGGCCGUACGCUGGGGGUGGUACAUUGCGUUUAGGUGGUGCGGCGACGGGCGCAACUGACGUUGGCCCGAGAGGGGACCAAUAGGACCGAGAUUCGGCCCCGGGGAAGGAGGGGCUGGAGGGCCAAAGAAACUUGCCAAGUUCCCGCGCCCGUCGAGUUGGAGUUCACGGGGCCAGACUCUGAUCGGCAUGAUCUUGGCCACCGCCCCGAACCUGCCAACCCCCCGAGCACUGGAGAUUCUGAGCUCCCGUGGGAGGUCGAGACGGUCGUUGAUCUCCAGAAGCAAGCGCAGCGGCCCAAAGUUUUCCCCGGAAAGACUCUCGGGGUCAACCUCAACCACGUUGCAGAAAGAGGAGAAGCACUCCUGGAUCUUGCCAUCGUACCAAUGCUCGAUUGGAAAGUCCACGACGGCGACAAAGGCAAGCCAAGUAGGAAUGCGGAAGAAACGGUCGGAGGUCUCUUCCGGCCUUUCGAAGUAGAGCACGUGUCCAUCAAAGGUUAAGGGAGACAGACGGUGCAAGGACUCACGGUCCGAGAAAUUGGCGCAACGAAGGAGCAUGGCUCCCCUGGACGAAGGAAGGAGGUCCACGGGGAGUAGAGGGCGGACAUAGCUAAGGGCAUUGCGGAUGAGGGCACUGACCUCGAGCAUCUGCACCGGCGGCUCAAUGAACGCAAACAGCAUGCGCUCACUGAGUUCUGGGCGGCCAGGGGACACCCAAGCUUCCGCGAAAGCUGGGCGCCCCAGCUGCCAGGAGUCGCCAUCAAACCCGGAGUCGGAGCUUUGAAGAUCCCCGCUUUCCACCUCUUCCUCGGAAGAGCCGAACGUGUCGGUCCCCGCCUGGGAACCACGGUUAGCCUGGCCAGGCAACAGUCGGCGUAGAUCCUGGCCAGGCGACCGCGCGGACGGCAGAGGUCCCUCCGAGGGCUCUCCGUUCGCCGGCCUGGUACCACGGUUGGCCUGGUCAGGCAGUAGGUGACGUAGAUCCUGACAGGUCCAUCCAAGGGCCCCCCGCUCGCUGCCCCCCCGGAGCCGGCUUUCGCGGCACCCUCAGAGCCGAAGCACGCCCCAGUGACAAAUUUGUCGAUGCAGGGCUGUAGCCCGAGAGCUUCGACGGAGGGAAGAGCAGCUGAGCUUGAGGCCACCAUGUUCUCCGGCAGGAAGGCGGCAGAAGACUGGAAAGUGAACUCUUCAGGGUCCACUCCGGCGUUGUCGGAAGGAGUGGACGGCGGUGACCGCGGCGCCGGCGCCGAACGAGCGCGCGCCGCCCGAGCAGUCCCUGGGGAGCAGAGGCGGUUGGCCGCUGCGCGGAGAAGACGGCGAAAAGGCAUCUUGCAGUUUGGACUGCGGUGCCCGAACGCGAGGCACCGACGGCAGCGAACCGGAUCACGGCAGUCGUCGACUACGUGAUCGGAGGAGAGGCAGCGAAAACACCCCUUGUUGGGCGGGCGGGGCUUUAGGGUUUUGACAACCAUAGGUAAGGGCUGGGGGGGAGAGCGCGCGACCUCGAGGUAAGAUCGUGGCCCCAGCGCAUUGAAGGUGCACGUCUUGGGCACACCUGCUUCCUGACCAGGGACAAGACCUGACGCCGCGCCCCUAGCAGGGGACAUAGUGGAGGAGCAGGGGAAGGGGAUGGGAAGCUGAACCAAAAGAUUUGCCGGUACAGAGCCCAGCUGUGGCGCAACGAAGGCCUGAGUGGCACGGUUUUUGGCGAUUUCACGUUGAGCAGAAGUUAUUGCAGUGGUUGGGCCCGUACGGGUUGCAAUAAGUGCUGUAGCUGUUGGGGGCAGGCGCUGGAACGCCCGCGCCGCCGCGUCGAGAGAGGGGUGGAGGAAGAGUUCAACGUCGGCGAUGCGUAGAACGCCGAGGACCAGCAGUACAUUCGCAAUAUUCUGGCAAGACACGAGGAACUCGAACACGCCGUCUACGACCCCGCGAACGUCUAGGCGACUCGGACAAGGAACCAACAGGAAACGCAGCGAGUUCUUGAUGAAGCAAGUAUUGAAACGAGGAUGGCGAGAGGGAGGAGUUACCCAGAUAGGCACCGGAGAAGGAGACGGAGCGAGCAGAUUCGGAACCACGGUAGCGAAGUGGUCGGCAAGGAUCUUGUUCUGGAGCUCGAGGCGGGCAGGUGCAGGCCGCACGACGACGAUUCGACGACGGCCGGCGGUGAGGUCGUGGGCGUCAAGACGACGCAGGCGGGGCACGGCCUCCGAGGGAAACCGAGGGAGAGGGGGGCGGUAGAGUUAACGGCGGUGGAGGUGGCGGCGGUGGAGGAGGAGGCUGCGGUGGUGGAGGCGGUGGUGGUGGAGGUGGUGGUGGUGGUGGCGGCGGUGUCAGCGGCGGCGCGGAGUCGCCCACCGGGCCACCGUCGCUAGGGCUCUCGAGGUCACUCAUCCGCAGGAAAGCUACCCCUGCAAAUAUGUUAUCAUAUCUGUUCUAUUGUUGGGUAGGAUGUAGGCACAAAAAUACAUCAGAUUUGUUGGAUAGGUCCUACUGAUUACAGGUGCUGAAAAUUGUAUAAGUUGGGACCAUUAUGUGCUCUAGGAGACUGGGCUGUUAGAUAAACUCCGUAGGUCCUAUACUUUUACUGAUCUACAGCUAUUGAAAACUUUCUAAGAUAGGGUCCUUGUGUGCCACAGGCAACUGAUUCUUUGUAUGUACGCCAAUACUUUGUGGGAACAAUGUAGGGACAGAAUAAUACAUUGAGCACUGUACAAUCAUGUUACCGUAAAAGGAUUGCUAAGCUUAGGGCCAAGUGGGCCCAUGAUUUAAUGGAGGCUUCUCAUGCUAAUCAGAAGAUUGUACUAUUUUGAGCUGUUUCAACUUACAAGUAGCUCUGGUUGUCCCAGCUACACCAGUACAGAGGUAGGGAAGCUCAUCAUUUCCAGUUGGAAGCUAGUACCUGUUACUUCCUAGUGAGAGCAUAGCACUUCUAUUUGGAUUUCUGAAUUUGCAUGCAUGUUGAUUUUUCUCUACCUUUUCGUUUGGCAAGACUAAAAAAGUCUAUGUGCCAUCUCCUCAACUGCCUUGCUGCUGUCAGUUAGGACCUAGGAGUAAUAUAUCUUCUCCCCUUGUAGGCAGCUGACCCAAUAGUAGGUUGACGAUGGAGUGGCCUCUUUUGUCAAUCUAUGCAUUUAUAAACCAUCUGUUGUCAAGUUUUUCUAGUUCAACAUGAACAAAGAAAGGAUAUAUGCCUCAUGUACAUAUAGUUCAUCUAUCUGUCAUUCUAUCAUACACGUAUAGUUGAACUUCAGUAUAAUAUUUGUUUCUCACACAAUUGACAGAAAAGAAUUGUUCCUACUAACUGGAUUACGUUAUGUGGUUCCUACCCUUAUGCAAGAAGAUCCACAUCAUCUGAAUUGCCAUAAAAAAGAAGAAACUAAUUCGAAGCAUUCCAUUUAUUUCUGUUUCUACCUGUUGUUGAAACCUAAAAGGUUAAAGAAUGGUUGUCUAUUGCUCUCAUGGAUCCUGCCUUAUGUUUUGAUGUGCAUCCCAUUUAACCACUCUGCCCUUCCAUCAUUUCUCGAAUCUGAAAACAAAGUCAACAGACCAUGCACUGAGUUUUUAAUGGUUUGGGAUCAGUGACUGGUUUAGCCAAUGCAUGUAUCACAUUUUCAUAUCUGCACUUUGCUCCAUAAUUCUAAUUUAGUAUGUCGAUUUGUUAAACAAUAUUUGACAUUCUCAUUUCUCAGAUCAGAUGGCUUAUGAUUCAUGGACCAAUGGACCAGGACUUUGUGCAGACUGCAGAUCCUGCAUCAGCAGUAGGUGAGUCCCAGUCUGAUAAUAAAUAUCGGACCGGCAAGAAGGGGGCAAAAUUAUGAGAUUAAGGUUGCAUUCCAUGUGAAUUUUUUAUUCGCCAUAUAGUUUUUGGACGUUGCAAUUUAAGAGCUGUUAGUACGUAGUUGGUACCUAACAAAAAUGUGUUCUAAGCCUAUGAACAAAAAUGGAGACACUAGCCAUGUGACAGGGGAGCAAGGUUUUGCUUCGUUUAGAAUCGCCAUUAGUCGAUCUCUCAAUCAUUAGGAGGUGAAUCCAUUUGUUUUCGUACUUAAUUCUGUAGGUAAUAAAGUCACAAACUUUCCACUGUGUUCCAUUGGAGUGUGAGAUCUCGGUAGUUGUUGGCACUGGUGUGUGCUUUGUUGUAGGACCGUACUAUUUUUAUUUUUAUUUUUGCUCAUCAUCCAUUUCACAUGUCAGGGGACCAUGGGCAUGAUUCUCUGAUCCCUCCACACAUUUGUUUAUCCAGUUAUCACUCUGAACUCUGAACCAACAUUUAAUCAUUUAUUUUUUGCAAGAAGACUAUUCUUUGCCAUUGAACUAUUGCCAAAGUCCGAUUUUUGCCAUCAUCAAACUCUAAAUUUCUGUUCAUUGAACAUUUGAAAUCGGGCAACUUUUUGUCCUCGACUGGUUUUGAAGAUGGUUUUUGCCUACAUAUGUGUGCAUUUUUCUAAAAAUAAUAAAACUAUGAUUAAACCUCUUAAAAACAUAAAUAAUUUAUUUUAAAUCAUAAAAAACCUGCUGCCCCCUCCAUGUCAUCAUACCCAGUAGCAGGUUCUGAAAACUGUUGAAGAUCAGGAGAUCUGGUUCUCCAACAGUUUGCCAAAAAUUACUUGGCAAAUCUUAUGAUUUGGCAAGUGGCUAAAACAUAUAGCAAGUGAAAAAAGAUUGUAUCUCCAACAGUUUGUCAUUUGAGUUUGGUAAAAACAAAACACUCAUACAAUAAACUGUACGAAAGGAAUUCGACGCUCUAUAGGCAGAGAGAGAGAAGAGAUGAAGACGGCAAGAGAAGCACUACCUGCACCUUGCCACUACUCACUAUAUUCACUGUAGCUACGUGUGUGUUUGUGUUGCGUGCUGCAGUGCAUCCACUCCUUUGACAUUUGACAUGCAUGCUCACUACUGUUCCUACUCAAUUCAUGUGAAAUCCUGCGCCACCUGUUGAACAACAGUAUAACUUUACUGGAGAAAAGGUGUGUGUUGAAGACAAAAUAGUACCAGCAGCGCAAUGUUCAUCGGUCACACUCGAGGCUCCCUGUACACUGACGUAUUGUACUGCAAUAGCAUGCAUGCUACGGCAUGGGAACAAAAAAAAGUAGAGGACACGCCUUGCGCCUGCUCUGCACGCCUGCGGACCAACUUCUGCGGAUGGCAAACCGGAACCGACGCGCAUAUAUACGCGCGUUGAGGUAGGAAAUAGCAAGUUACUAAAUUUUAGCAAGUCAUUUGCCAAACUGUUGGAGGGGUAGUUUCUUUAGUUUUGCUAAAAAAUGAGGAUAGCAAGUGGGUUUGGCAAACUGUUGGAGAUGCUCUUUUACGCAACGAAUGUGAAGUUUUAAAGCAUUCCAGUUAGUAUUAGUUCCAGCAUAUCUAAUUUUGUCGGUCUCAAUUCCGCUCCAUAGAUCUAUAUACAAGGUAGUACGGAAUCAUGUGCUGGAAUGGUUCUCCAUUGCCUCGCUGCUGCCUAUCUAAACUAGGACCAACUGGCUCUUGAUUGAAUGGAAGCUUCCCAUGCUGAUCAAGAUCUACAGUAUUACAGUACUCCAGCAAUCAGCAGGUAGCACGAGGAGCCAUUCUGACUGGAGCAUGCAAGACGACAAAUGCACCUGAAAUUUGCAGCCAAGUACGUUCUCCAGCAUCUGAAAUAUGAUUUUUUUUUUCCUAAUUGUUUUUUUAACGCAGUUCUUGUCCUGUUUCUGAUUGGGGAAUUGAACAUAUGAAAGGCGCUUUUGCUCCUCAACCACUCAACUGGCUUGCUGCUGUCAGCUAGAGUAAUAAUCUAAUCUCUCUCCCAUUGCAUGACACCAUCUCAGUCAGCUGGUUCUGUUGUAGGUCAGAAACAGACAGGCCUGUUUUACCAACAUGUUCUCGCUGCAUUUCCAGAACUUCUUGUCAAUUUCUAGUCUAGCAAGAAAAGAAAUUGUGCCUACCGCACAACAACAAUUAUUCUACAUUUACCUGGUGCUGAAACAUACUGGUACGAGAUCAAAACAAAAAUGAGCAGAAUACUAGUUUGCCUCCUUCACUUUUCUGGGAAAACGAAUUUCAUUUUUGCUCACAGGAUUAACUGAAGAUCACUGUGCACGAAUACCAGAUUUUUCUGGUCUUUCCUGGAAAUAAAGGAACAGGGGUUAAUAACUGGUCUCAGAUUUUGCCUGUUGUUGAGAGCGCAGAAACCUGAAGAGCAGUAUACUGUUUUCAGGGAUCCUCUUUUCCUUGUUUUCAGUUGGGUGUCACAUUUCCUAUCAAAAUAAGAAAAAAAAAGUUGGCUGUCCCAUUUCAGCUUUAAUUAACAAGUGUAUAUUCAGCAUGGGACACAACUAUCUUCUUUUUCAUUCCCCUGCUUGAUUAUCUUCUUUAUAAGAAGCAAAGUCAACAAACCACCAUGCAUAUAGUAUUAUUAUUUAAUAUUUGUUAAUGCUCCUGGGAUCAAGCACCUGGUGGUGCCUGCCGGCAUUCUCGGUCAUCGAAGCAGAUCGUCACUCCUUUUGAAUGCCAAAGCUAUCUAUACAUCUUUAGUAUACUCUCCAACUGAGCCUUUUUUAGCCAUGAUUUCACAUGGUUGCUUGUCAGAUCAGACUGGACAUGCAAUUGCUCUUGCUCAUGGAAUCAUGGACCAAUGGUGAAUGGUCCAUGCUUGCACCUGUGCGCGGUUCUUAAAUUUCAAACAGACGGGCUAGUCCCGUCAGUGUUGGCUUAAUUAGCUGAUCUAGCAACAAAGACCCUAUCAAUAACUUAACGCAAUGAUCGAUCUGUCAAGAUGGGAUCAAAUUUAUGAGCUCCGUGCAAUGCAAACGCGACCACAUUUUGUGUGGCACGUGUGUGCUAAUCAAUAGGGUUUUGCAGAUUUUUUUAGAAUAAUAGGGUUUUGCAGUUGAAGCUGUAGAGAUGUAUAUAUACAAUACAACUACCUUAAAUUAUUGAUGAGUGAUUAUCUCGUGAUGAUAGCGAUUGCAUAUGUGCGUAUGCAGCUGCAUUGAUGGAACACUGAAGACAUAAGCUAAGAGACAAAGAUCAAUCGAAGUUGAAAAGGCUUUGCUUCGCUUCUAAUUCAUCAUCGUUUGAUAUGCCUGACACGCAUGUGUAGUAAGUGCCUGAUAUUAGCUCUCAUUUAUGGGGAGGCUGGACACAUGUGUAGUAUAUAUAGUGCCUGAUAUUUACGGGUAACUUUAUAUGUAGGUAAUAAUGUGACAAGAUUGCCCUUUGUUGCAGUCCCUAAUAUAAACCGAGGUCAUGUGUUUGGAUGCAAAGUAUUUUGGGGGGUUUUAUAACAAUACUAUGAUUUUAUAAAAUAUUUUGGUUUUGGAGCGUCACGAAAUGUUAGAUAGAACAGACUUUAUAGUUUUGAAAGCAUAGUAUAUUAUUAACAUUGUUUGUCUUUUUGGAGCUCAAAAAACUUCACCUAUAAACCUCUUUUUUCUAAAUUGCAAAAUUUUUCAGAUUCUCCAUCACAUCGAAUUUUUAGACGCAUGCAUGGAGUAUCAAAUAUAUACGAAAAUAAAAACUAAUUGCACAGUUUGGUCGAAAUUGACGAGACGAAUCUUUUAAGCCUAGUUGGUUCAUGAUUGGAUAAUAUUUGUCAAAUACAAACGAAAGUGCUACAGUGUCGAUUUUGUAAAAAAAUUUAGAACUAAACAAGGCUUAAAACCAAAGUUUCUUGAAACUGAGUUUCUCGAAACCGCAACAUCCACACAUGGCCUGAGUAUACACAAUGCACACGCUUGACCCAUAGCUGACUCGAUCGAAUUUUCAUUUCAUAUUUUGUACUCAGUUUAGAGGAAGUGGAUUCCGAGCCCCCGGUCUCGUUAGUCAACAGUAUUAUGGCUUGUUAGGCUGCACUCUAAUCUGUCUUAAUUUAGAGAAUCUCUCGCGUGUUGAAAAAGAAAUAUAAAUAGGUUAAUUAGAAUGUGUAUUGUUUAAUUGGACAGCUUGUAUGUUUAUAGAAAUAGGGGACUUGUUGACGUGGACAUUAUAAUUGGAUGAGCUAGUGAAUUUUAAUUAUGCGUGAUAGUAGAUUUUCUAGUUGGAUAGCUUACAUGUUGAUAGAAAUAGGUAGUGAGGGUUUUGCUUUAUAAGAACAUAAGAUUAGAGUGAAUCCCCGUAAAGCAUUAUUCGGCUUUCUAACAACCAUAGUCCUGAUAAAACCAAUUCCUACCAGAAAUACUUGACUAAUUUAUAUCAAUUUUUUUUAUCAGCGGAAGCGAUUGGAAACCCCUUCCAACUGAACUUCAUUGGUCCGUAACGGCAAUCCUCCAUCUUUUGCUUCCCUUGGUAGGAUCUAUCGAUAGUAGUGUAGUAUUGUUUAUCCGUUUCUCAAUCCGGCCUCAAUUACUGUGAGUCGUAGCAACCGUUAUUAAUUUUCACGAGUUGCAUUGUGGCAGUACGUAUUGCAUUUUCCGUUCCACCGGCGCAAGCGGGGAUGUGCGUGCAUGCCCAUCGUGGUGGCAGUUACUAAUAAAGGCUUCCGGAGGAAAAAAUUUUAUUAGCACUUUCGUUUUGUUAUAAUUAUUGUCCAAUUGCUUUCGUUUGUUUGUUAUAACUAUUGUCCAAUUAUAGACUAACUAGGCUCAAAAGACUCGUCUCAUAAAUUCCGACAAAACUAUACAAUUAAUUUUUUUUUAAUUUUUGUCUAUAUUUAAUACUCUAUAUAUGCGUUUAAAGAUUUGAUGUGAUGAGAAAUCUUGAAAAAUUUUAGGUUUUGGGUGGAAGUAAAAAAGCCUAAUUGCAUAUGGUAGUAGUUGGGCCUUGACGUGUGCGCGGUUGAUGGGAUGGGAUGGGAUGAUGAGGUGAGCCGUGAGCGUGGACUGCUCCCUCCUCGUCUCGCGCCUUCAUCGCCCUGCGUCCGCAAUUUGCCAUCAUUCAUCUGCCGUCCUGUCCAUCCAGCCGACACUUCUCCCCUGCUAACCGCUAACUGCUGCCUACUAUAUUAUUUAUCUAUUGCUACUAAUCUAUUGAGGUGAGCCCUCUCUAUUCCCUUAGCUAAAAAUACUAUUUACUAAUUUAUUUAUUAUAAGAAAAAAAAUAUACUGUUAAAUAAAUGGUUGUUAGAUUCAACAAACAAAAAGGCUGAUAUUUUAGUGUUAAAACUUGGUUGAUCGAAUGAUUACUGUAACUACAACAGGACCAGAGUAGUAGUAGAUAAGAGUUUACCAUCAGAUGCAACGGAUCAUAGAAAAGGAUCAGGAGGAGGAGAUGCGAGGCAGCAAGAAUUAGUGUCUUCCUUUGUCGCCAACUGAAACUAUCUGACACAUUAGAUCGAUGGGGACCUGGAAAUUAUUUCAGUUGGAAGACAUCGUGAGAUUGUGAUGGUUCUGUUUCAGUUUUUCAGGGACGGGAUCAUGUCUAGCGUUUGGUUUAGGAAGGACACGACUAUCUCUCUCCUUUCUUCGUUUUCUGGUCUCACCCUUCCUUGACUACGCACACAUCCAUGAAACCAGCCUCAUGGAAACCAUAGCUAAAUCUAUACUCCCUCGGUCCAUUGAAAUAAAAUGUUGUUUUUAACUUUCAAUUUUCUUAUCUGUCCGUUCAUCUUAUUCAGUUUUUUUUAUAUAAAUAGGAAAAUAAAUAAAUCAUUCUUAAAGUAUUUUUAUUGAUAAAACAAGUCAUAUAUAUGACAAAGACUCAAAGAGAGUAGUUGUACAGAUCCGGGGGCUUGGCAGCCUCCUAUACCCCAUGGAGCCCAUAGAGCCCCCUUUAAUUCUACAUCCAUGGAUGAAGAAGAUAAUAAAGGAGAAAGAACAUAAUUAAAGAGAAGAGUGGAGGAGAAAGGGAAGAUGAGCCCCUUCCACAGGGCCUCGGCUCCGUCCCUUAGUUUAGUUAUAUAAUUUUAUUGCUUUACAAUUUAUAAAUUAAAGAGUCUGGUUUUAUGAUCCUAACCAGUAGAGUUCACACGUGCCCAUGUUUUUCUUUGUUUGUUUAUAUGAUUUUACCUAAAUUCUUUAAAUUCAAUUUACUUCCUCCGUCUUAAACGCUGUUUGAUUUGAUGUGGUAUUGAAGAUGAUACUUUUGACUGUUAGGGCUUGUUUAGUUUCCUCUAAAAACCCAAAACUUUUCAAGAUUCCUUAUCACAUCAUAUCUUACGACACAUGCAUGAAUCAUUAAAUAUAAAUAAAAACAAAAACUAAUUGCACAGUUUAUCUGUAAAUCGCGGGAUAAAUCUUCUGAGCCUAGUUACUCCAUGGUUGGACAAUGUUUGUCAAAUAAAAACGAAAAUGCUAUGGUACUCUAACCAAAAAAAUUUGGAAACUAAACAAAGCCUUAAUCUUCUUAUAAUACAUAUAUAAUUUAUGACAAUAAAAAUAUCAUUAUCUAAACACAAAUAUAAUGGUCAGGCACUCGGACGGACAAAGCCUACUGACAGUGCCACUCGUGAGGGACAGCCGGACACCGACAGCAUGCAUGCUUCUGCGCGCGGAAACAUGCGUUCUGCGUUCCUGCUGCCCAUGCGGCUACUGCGAUCCCCCCUUCUGCAACUACUCGGGUAGUCGGGUGUCACUGGACUGACACCCACUCUGCAGCCUGAUGGCGACAACGGCCCCUUACAUUUUUUUAUAUGGGAUCCCACUUUAUAUGACCAUGAAAACCACUAUUUUGUUAUGUUACUCUUUAUAUGAAAUAGAGAUACUUUUAUUUUUAUUAUAUAUAAAUCAAGAUAUUAGAUCACUCUAUUCGCUUCAACUUAUCGGCCGUUGUUUUUCUCUCACAACAAAUCAACGAAUAGUAUUAAUAUAAACUAAAUUUCAGUGAAGCGUUCCAACAAAUGAACAUUAGGUUUUCGCGAUGAAACUCUAGAACCAAAACUUUUUACCAUCAAAACUAUUGAUAUGAGACAGAUUUUGCCAUCAAGUUGGGUUCAAAGAUAGUUUUAUAUUUUUGAAAAUAAUGAGAUAUGUUAUUUCUAAAAAGCAGAAAUAAUUCAUUUCAAUAAAAAAAUAUGAAACCAAUACAAAAAGAAUUUGCAAAGGAUAAGUUAUCUAUUAGUGCUAGAUUCAGAUCUUGUUUUUUUACUUGUCCUUAGUGUUUUAUUGCCCAUAGUUUUCCCUUCUAUUGUUUAAAUCAUCAUAUUAUUUAUGCUAUAUUGAAUUUAAAGAUGAACAAAGAGAAUUCAUACUUUGAAUAGAGUACCAAAUAAGUGGAUAGAAUUAACCAAGGGGUCAAAAGAUAUGUAGUCUCGUUGAUAGAUAUGCGCCAAGUCCUAAUAGAGUGAUUGCACGCAAAGAUGAGUUCUCUGGGGUGCCUCAACAUUAAGGGUCUGGCUAUUUCCAGAACAUGCUGAGACUGAGUUGCCCCCCCCAGCACAAUCAGGAGGCAAAGGGCUUAGCCACAUUCUGGGCAUGUAUCAUGUUGCCGAGUCCCUGUAUGACUCGGUAAGAGGUGCUGAUCCUUGCCCGCCAUCUUAAAGGGCUCACCAAGGCCAUCUUACAAGCAAGUGGAUUCACCCUAAGGGUUUGCCUUCUUCCCAAAGGCUAAGGGUUUGCCUUCUUUCCAAAGGCUUAGAGGACGAACAUGCAGAACCAUCUUUUCACCUAUAUCAGGUGUUAUCUUACCUUCCCUCGAGUCCGAUCUCAGGAAGGCGCAGGGCAUAGGGGACGACAUGCUUAAAGCAGAAGGUGUCAAACACAACAUCAAAACACACCACACUAUUGAUGUCACGAUAAUAGGACAACGCCACCUCGAAAAAGGACAAAGCACAUUGCACGUUCCUCUCACUAUUGACACCCUCUACCUCAGAAAAGCUAUAUAAGGAAGGCCUAAGCUCUCUCUAAGGAUGAACCCUCGUAGCAUUCUCACCCAUUUAUAACAUUUAGUCAUUUACUACAAAACUUCGAGCACUCAUGCUCAAGAACACAAACAGUAGAACUAGAGGUAGGGCUUGUUGGUUAAACCCUCUCAGCGCUAUAUACCAUACACACAACUACUGAUUUACCGGUCGGCGCUACAAAUCGUUGACAAAUGGGUUCAUUUUUUCUAAAAUAAAUCAAUUCUUAAUUAUUAUUUUUUCUAAUUUGAAACGAGUUAGUUCGUUUUUUUCCAUAGUUUAUAAAAUGAUGAAUCUAGGCUUUGUUUAGCUCCUAAAAAAAUUUACAAAAAAUUUUAGAUUCUUCUUCACACCGAAUCUUACAGCGCAUGUAUAGAGCAUUAAAUAUAAAUAAAAAUAAUAACUAAUUUCACAAUUUACAUGUAAUUUAUGAGACGAAUCUUUUGAGCCUAAUUAGUUUAUAAUUAGGCAAUAUUUGUCAAAUACAAACGAAAGUGUUACGGUAUCUAUUUUGCAAAAAAAAUUAGAACUAAACAAAGUCUUUUAAGCCUUGUUUAGUUCGCAAAAAUUUUCGUUUUUGGCUACUGUAGCACUUUCGUUUUUAUUUAACAAACAUUAUCCAAUCACGAAGUAACUAGACUCAAAAGAUUCAUCUAACAAAUUAGAGGUAAAUUGUGCAAUUAGUUUUUAUUUUUAUCUAUAUUUAAUAUUUUAUAUUUAAUAUUUCGUGGAUACACCAAAGAUUCGAUGUGACGGCAGCUUUUGCAAAGCGAGGUACAGGCUGUAAAUCCCAAGGACCCGACAAGGUUUGCUCUCAAAGUUGGGAGCUCGCGUGGAAGACAAGAAUCGCCAUGACCGUGAAUGAAUGAACGAACGAACAAACAAACAAAACAGAGGUGCACGCCCACGCCAUCACACCACACCACAGCAACGGCCUGCCUUUAAAGCGUGUGCGUGGGAUCCGGGCGGCACCGGAACGGACGGUUGGUGUCCGCCCCAGCCCGUGAUCCGACGGCCAGCACGGCCUCCUCCACCCUUAAAGCCCAAGCAUCCUCCUCCUCCUCCUCCUCCUCCUCCUCCGGCGGCAGUUACCCCUCUGCUCUCUCGUCGUGCUCUGCCUGCGGGCUGCCGUGCCGUGCCGCCCCGCCCGCCACCCUCGCCCGCCGUCGGGUCGCCUUCCCACGCCGCCGCCCGCCUGCGCCCACCACCUGAGGCCGGCCGGUCGGUCGCCCAUCCAUAACGCCCACCCCCGCAGUCCAGUCCAGUCCAGUCCCCACCUCUUCUCUUCACACACUCGCACGCCUCCUCACCCGCCACGCCGCCACAGCGCGCGCAGAUCGGAGGAAGAGGAAUGGUGAGCGCGUCGAGCCUGCUGCUCCCGUCCUCGGUGCGGGACCUGGCGUCCUGCGUCUCCGACGGCGCCGUCCGCGUCGCCUGCACCACCCCGGCGUCCACGCUCACCGUCUCCUCCACCACCACCUCCUCCUCGCCGCCAGCGCCGCCGUCCACGCUCUCCGUCGCCGUCACCUACCGGACCACCCCGCAGGCGCCGUCGUCGCCGCCGCUGCUCCUGCGGCUCACCUGGUCGUCGCGCUCCUCGCACGGGGCCCCUCCGACGCUCUCCUUCGCGGGCCCCACCGCGUCGUCCCCCGCCGUCCAACUCCGCCGCCGCAAGGGCACCUGCUGCCUCCCCUCUUCCUCCUCCUCCUCCACUCACAGCCCCCCGCUCGCGCUCUUCUGGGACCUCACCGCCGCCAGGUACGACGGCGCGGCCUCGUCCCCGGAGCCGGUCUCCGGGUUCUACGUCGUCGCCGUGGCCGGCGCCGAGGUGGUGCUGGCCGUGGGCGACCUGGCGGCGGAGUUCGUCAAGGCCAAGUUCGAGGGCCAGAUCCCCCGGGCGCGCUCCAUUCUCCCGGUCUCCCGGACCGACCGCGUCGUCGUGGCGGCGGCGGCGCCGGGGCAGACGCCGGGGGCCGCGGUGCACACCGCGCGGGUCCGGUUCGCCGAGGGCGCGCCGGAGCACGAGGUCGCCGUGGGCUGCUGCCGCGCCGCCUCCGGCAGGCCCGGGGAGGAGGAGCUCUGGGUCAGCGUCGACGGCAAGCGCGCCGUGCACGCGCGCCGCCUGCGCUGGAACUUCCGGGGCAACCAGACCGUGUUCGUCGACGGCGCGCCCGUCGACGUGCUCUGGGACCUCCACGGCUGGUGGUUCCAGGACCCACCUGGCUGCGCCGUCGUCAUGCUCCGCGCCAGGAGCGCGCUCGAGAGCAGGCUCUGGCUCGAGGAGGAGGCCAAGGCGCCUGGAUUCGCGCUCCUCGUGCAGGCCUUCAAGACGCCACCUUGAUCUUCAUCUCGGUGAUGCCAUGGCUAGUUCGUCGUGAAUCCUGAAUUGCUGAUGAUUGAUGAGGUCAACCAAAUGCUCUGUUGCUCACUGCCUGCUGGUUCAUAUUUCCUCUGCAUUUUGACUUGGGAAUUUGGUGGGUGGUAUUUAGCAAACCAAACCAAAUCCAACCAGGAAAAUGCAUGGUUGCGUUGACAAUUUAGAAGUUUGUAGAUUCCGGUGUGUCGAAUGAGUUUGGGAAGACACCAUGAAUUUCGUGUGGUAUGGUAUACAAAGAGAAGAGAUUGAUUUGUGCUGUUGGGUCAUCUUCUUUCUUUCUUUCUUUUAAUAAUUUGCUUCUUCUUAUUUUCCGAAUAAUCUUAGCUCUGUGUGCUGGUACAGUUAACAAAGGAUUAUACAGUAUAAUCAUCAUAGAGUGUGUCUUCAUUCAGAAUUGCUGUGAUUAGCCAUGAAAUGAAAUCAUGCUGUGCAGGUUGCUUCCUGCUUGGAGUACACUUCGAAUUUUGAAAGAAUUGAUCCUCCAUAUCUGUAUCCUGUUGCUCUUCACAUAUAUGUUUAUGGAAUGCUGCAGUAACAGUGACACGAGUGAUUCUAGCACCAUUCCUAGUACAGAGGCACAGGGCAACAACCUGUGCCUCAAUGGAUUCCUGCACCAUCUCCACCAAAUAUCCUGUACUGAUUCCACUACUCCAGAGAUCCACUACAUGUUUACCAAUGUUUGGAGCCUAUCAUAUCAUGCACAUGCAUUCUUCCAACAAACCACCAUUUGGUUCUUGAUCAUGUAAUUUCUGCAGGUACACAGUGAUGUCCCUGUCAUAAUUUAUGGCCACAUGACUGUCUCCCUCUUCUGUUUACAAUAAACAGAGCAUGAGAGGGGGGGGUGUCAAUGGAAGGAAAUGAUGCAUGCACUUGGGGUGUUGGUUGGUCCCAAGCUGACCCCCGGCAUACAAAACAAAACAAAAACAAAAACAAGUUGAGGAUGGUGAGGAGUGCAGGCUACUGCUUUCUCCUUCCCUUGCAGUUCCACACUCGUGAGAGCUUGCCUUCCCAGAUUCUGCUGCGUGCUUUGUGCUUUUGGGUUUUGUUUUCUUCUCUGGAGUUUAUCUGAUGCUCCACGCCAAUUUGGCAAUAGGAAUACGUAGAGUAUAUCAGGCGAAAGAGACUGAUGGCGCUGUCACCUAUCAUGUGAGCAUCAUCAUAUCUUGUUACUCUAUCUGCCAAGCAACCAUGUUGACACACCAGGACAAUAAUCGCCACUUCUUUGUUUGUGUCGUUUUCCUUAUUGUAGGGUCUGUUUGAUAUGGCUCUGGCUCCUUGUUACGCUACAUGGUAGUUGGAAUUGUUGAAGCUAAAAAUAGUGACUUCAUCGACUCAUAUUUAUAUUUAUUGAGAAAAAAGAGAGAAAAGCCGAUCCUUGCUUGACAUGAAAGAGUCAGGAUCAAUCAAAAGCUUCAUCAAACGGCGCCUACGUACUGCACCUGCUACGUAGUACACUGUGCCACUAUACAUGUGGGUAAGGCAAAACAUGCAUCUGAUUACACAUCAGUGUCUUUUAAUCUGUCUCUGGAUUUUAGCUGGGCCUUGUCCUCAAGAACAGGCUCCAUCCAGAAUCCAGGGACGACGGUUCUCGGGCUCGGCACGGCACGGCACGUCGGCAGCCAUGGAAUCUGGCCAACUUCAUCGUGGUUUCCGAGCUGUAUGGCUUUGGUUUGGAGUUGGGGGUUAGCCAACAAAUGCAGUGUUGCUUUCACGAUUCAUGUUCAGGAUUCAUGACACAUUGCUUUCAAGCUAUGCAACGUAUACAGACUGAUGCAAUGUUGAAUGGCGACCGACCUGCUGGUCUGUCUGUACUCUGUAGAGUGUAUGUAGAUGACUAGGAUGUGUAUGAUGCUGUACUGAGUUGCUGCCAAUGGAGGAGUACUUCACACUAUUUCAGGUAUGACAGCAGCCUCCAAGUUCAGAUAGCAGGCCUGUCAUCAGUUUCUCCACUGCAGCACGUCUGGAAAAUUUGGAACUAUGUUUGCAAGGUUAAGCCUUGCAAGUCUGGUGAACCUCCCAGUUUAUAUGGACUAUGAUUGUGACUACCAGUGAGUGAUUCUUCAGAAGCUGUAGGCGACGAGUUCAGUCUUCCAUCUGAUCGCUCUGUUUCUAGUCUCUGCACAUUCUUGCUUGGGUCUAUUCCAAUUCUACAAGUAGCUAAUCUUACUGGCCAGCUGCGCAUGUCUAUCGUCGCAAGAAUUCACACCAUCGCCCAUGAUAUGCAAUGAUGCAUAGUGUGAAGCAUAGUACGUGACCUCACUGUAUCUGUGUGAAUUUCAUGAAUGGCGAUUGCGAAAGCGGCUGCCGUCAUGGUACAGAAAGAAAGCUGGUAGUGAUCGAUGAUGGCAGGAUUACUUAUCUCUUGCCAUCCUUGUUUAGAGAGAUGAUGAACCUCAAACGAUAUUUUCAUCGUUUUGGCACACAAAAAGAAAGCUAUUGGUGCCAUUCUGGUCUUUUACUCCCUUCUGAAACCACAAAGAGACAAAGACCACUGACAUUUGCUAGAUUAUAUUCCAAACAUAAAUCAUAUGUUUUAUAGGCACGAUUUCAAAACUAAUUAAAUAAAACAUGCUGUUAUCAUAAAUUAGCAUGCACAUAACAGGAAGUAUUGUUGGAAUGAAUAAAAUGAACAAUAAUAGGAGGGUCAGAAAAUUGUAACCUUGAGUGAGAUUGGUGGCGAGGCACUAACCAUGUAAAUGAUGGGAAAACUAGCUCUUGGAGGUGCGGUGACAAGAACGAGGACUGGGUGACAAGUGCCACCGAGAUGCGUAUUUCCCCAUAUCAGAGACUGGUUUGGGGAUUUCAACCCGUGGGAGGAUUAAGGGCCUGUUUGGCAUGGCUCCACUAGAUCUUUCGAGUCUUGUUGAUGAGGCACUAACGACUAUUAGUGAUUCAGGGCUCCACUAGAAAGCUAUUAGUGAUUCAGGCUCUGUCUUUGUUGAUGUAUUCGACUUUAGCUGAUUAGGCACAACAACUAGACAACCUUGUUUGCCCUCAAAAACCUUACUCGCUCUCUUUUAGCCACAGGAUGGUUGAGAUGAAAUGAAAUAGACUAUAGUACUGAUAGCACAACAGAUAUAGAUAGAAAUAGAAAUAGAAAUCUAUUUUGAGUACCUUAUAAGGAUUUUCCUCAGGACUUCUAUAAUACUUCUGGUGUGCUCUAAUCAAGAGGGAUUGUGCAUAUAUAGAAAGGAGAACAUUCACAUUCACAUUAACUAGUAAUACGGUACUAAUUGAUAUCACACAUUUCACCUAUAUUCAUGAGCUUAAACAUUAAAGCCCAUUAUAAUAUAUAGGUAAAUAGGCCUUUGAGAUUUAUUAGAAUUUACAACCAGCUGUUACCAAAAAAAAAUCUCAAAAUUUAUUUCAAAGAUAAACUAAUAAUAAACAAACUAAAUAGGGAUACGGUGUCGUGUAGACACAUGUCGCCUUACACAGAGUGCAUGUACUAGCCGGGAUGGGUGUUUACUUCCAAAUUUUUUUGCAAAAUAGGAAUAGUAGCACUUUCGUUUGUAUUUGACAAAUAUUGUCCAAUUAUAGACUAGCUAGGCUCAAAAGAUUCAUCUCGUCAAUUCCGUCCAAACUGGGCAAUUAGUUUUUAUUUUCAUCUAUAUUUAAUGCUCUAUGCAUACGGCUAAAGAUUUGAAGUGACGGAAAAUUUUGCAAAAUUUUUGGGAACUAAACAACGCCAUAGUAGCAGAGAACAAGCGGUAGUAAUGAGGAGCCUUAUACGUACUACGUAUACAUACAUAUACAUCACGGUCACGGCAUCACCGCUGCAAAUACAUUAUACAUACAUGUGCCAUAAGACUCAAUGUGACAAAGAAUUUUAAAAAAAUUAUGGAUUUUGAGUUGAACUAAACAAGGCCUUAAUCAUUUCAUCACGGUGAUCUGAUCCUCUCUGCCCGUGGUUCAUGGACAGAGGGAGCAGAAUCGUUCAGCACGAGUGCAGAACGCAGGCCGUGCAGGACUAGAUCGUCUCUCACAGGGUUCGCUGGUCAGCUGGGCCUUGGGAUCGACUUGGGAGUCAUGGGCCUUGUUUAGUUCUAAAAAGAUUUCGGAUUUUGGUACCGUAGUAUUUUUUUAUUUAAUAAAUAUUAUCCAAUUAUAAACUAAUUAGGCUUAAAAGAAUCAUUACGUGAUUUACAGGCAAACUGUAUAAUUAAUUUUUAUUUUUAUCUAUAUCUAAUGCUUCAUGCAUGUGCCCUAAGAUUCGAUGUGACGGGGAAUAUUGAAAAGUUUUUGAUUUUUGGAUGAACUAACAAGGCCAUAGUAUGUCUUUGAAAAAAAAACACUUUCCCACAUUGGAUCCAGACCACACCGUUUUCACUUUCGACAUUAGAUUUUCUUUUCGAUCACCCCGAAAUUCAGCGGAAAGUUCACCAAUUUUUUUUUAACCCUCGCUACAACAAACGUUUCAACAUAACUGCGAUAGGUUUCCUAGCAACUCGCCGUCCCCAAAGAACUUCAAAUUUAGAUUUGAACCAAAUAUUUUUUUUAACUUCAACUAAAUUUAUAGAAAACUAUACUCCCUUCGUUUCAAAUUAUAGUCAUUCUGACUUUUUAAUUACAUAAAUUUAACUAAAUAUCUAGAUAUAAUGUAUUUCUAGUUGAGCAGAAAAGACACAACGCUUACAAUUUAGAAUGAAUGGAGUAUUAACAUUUAUGUCUCCUCCGAAUAGGAUUGCUAUGAAUUCCAUGAUUAAUUUGAUAGCACUUAUGCAAUAUAAGUCUAGUGAUUUUGUCAAAUUUCUUUAACUCCUAAGGAUGAGAGUGACCCUCUAAAUGGAUACCCGUGGUUCUUAACUAAAUGAACUAAAUGAAAAAAAAUGUCUAUUUAGUUCAUUUAGUUACACUAGAGAAGAAUCACAGAUAUCUAUUUAGAGCGCCGUCUCCAUCCUUAUUAACUCCUUAAAAUAAUUCUAAUUUCUUGGGAGGGAUGGAGUAGCUAUUAAUACAUGCUCUGAUAAUUCAUUUAUGAGUGAGGCAGUUAAAACUUCCCCCUCCCACAAACCAAAAAAUAAAAAAUAAAUAAAAAUGUUCAUUUCAAAUUGCUCGUUAGUUAAUCUCCGCUGCAAAAAAUCCUGUUAGUUUCAAAUGCUUUCCUGAAAUGGUACCAUUUAAGAGCAUCCUGUUUGCUGAUGCCAGUUGCCAACAGGUAAUAAUAACAACAACUAGCCUUUGGUGAAAUCACCGAUGCUUUAAUCUCCCUUUGGUAUCCAUAUACCACGGUUUGCUGUGUUUCAGCAUGAAUACUGAACAAAUGAGAGUGUUUCCAUUCCAACAACAAACCUGAAUGAUUUCUCAUAUUUACCGCGCCCCCCCCCCCCCCCCCCCCCCCCUCUCAUCAAAUCCAACCUACAAGCAGUCAUCCGCCACUGUACAGGUGCUUGUUCGCCCUGCAGACUGCAGGACGCCGACUCCAGGCAGCUGCUAUUGCUAUUUGCAGGGCCCUAUCUGCUGCUUCCUUACUGUUUGGCUGUUAUUCUCAGGAGUGGGGUUACCUUCGGACAGCGGCAUGCUGUCCACUGAUGACCUAGAUGCCACCUGAUUCUCCUGGUCGGGCUCAUUCCUGGUAGCCUCUGAUGCCCUUGACGAGUGCCCGGUGCCGGCAAACAGGCAGCGGCAUGGAUCUGAUGCUGAUGGUUCAGGAGAGCUUGGAGGGCUGAUCACUACCACACUGGGUAGCGGUGGAGGAGGAGCAGUGUGCUCGCUGUCAGGGUUAUGGAGCAAUGAGACUCUACAGACGGGGCAGGUCGAGUUCUGCUCCAGCCAUAAAUCUAUACAGGCCAUGUGAAAAUCAUGGCCGCAGUGAGGAAGAACGCGUAGAACAUCCCCCUCUUCGUAUUCUGCGAGACAAAUGACGCACCUGCCAAAAAAAAAACGAUGUGAACAGUUCAGUGACUAGUGCCAUCAAAUGAAAGACGAUUGCUAAAGAAUUAUCAAUAGGAAACAGAAAUGGAAAUCAGCAGUUUUCACUUUCUUAAACCUCUCUUUGUUUAAGAAAGGAACGCUCUAUGCCUCAGACUGAAACUGUUUUUUUUUCUUCAUGCUUUACAAUCAGAUGGUUUGUGUUCACAUGUAGACUCAGUGAAGCUAUAGAAAACCGAAGGCACGUAAAUAUGAUAGAAACCAACUUGUGCAGAGUAAUACAGGCAAUAAGCUGAGAACUCUUGGGGUGGAAUAUCUAGUUCUGACUAAGAAAAUUUUCAAAUUAGUGGUUCAUGUUCAUGGACACAAAGAAUCCAUGCAAUUAGGUUGAAGCAAUCAAGCACAGUUCAAUGUUCAGCCAGAGGACCUGUAAUCCAAUCCUUGUUUCCCUUCAUCAGGCACCACAGGUGAGGUUAACCUACUCAAUAACAAAUGCCUAAUAAUGACCCACCUUCUUCAGGAACAGUUAAACACCCAUACCCCCAUUUUGAUGUCAUAUGAUUGAUCAAGUGAUCUUAGCUGUUCAGUAACAAUGCAAGCGGAGGGACAUCAUGAUUCGAUUGUCAAUCUCCAGCAAAGCACAACAAUCAGUACACUCGUACUAAAAGAAAAUGCACCGCCACUGUAUUUAGACACCAAAGUCCUCAAGGACAAGGCAUGUACUGAAAACGCAAUCAACAUCCUCACUGACAACCCUUUCGGUGCCAAAAGGCUGUCUCCUAUCGUGGCCGUGGCACCCCCUCAUGAUUCCAGCAGCAUUAAGCAAAGCACAGACGACGCACAGUUUUUUCUUUAGGGUCAAAAAUUGAAAAAAAAAAAUAUUGUCUGAACCCACAGGAUUGGAAAAAUGUUGGGAAAACACCAAAUAAUACAGUAAAAACACUAAUUAACAGCACCUAAGUUUAUUCAUGAAUCAUGAUUUCCCAUAAGUUUGUUUCGGUUGUUGACAUCAGUCAAAACAUUUUUUUCCACAUACGGAUGAGGAUGCAGUACAACUUGUGUUGACUUAUAUACUAGAACUAGAACUAGAACUCUAUGGUCAGACUAGCAUUCAGAUUCAACAACUAGGAUCAGAGCCAAACAUUUCACAUUCCAGUCCCACCCACAGUCCCCAGAACAGUCAACGGUACAAUCUAUGGCCGACAAACAUAACAAUAUACAGGCCGACAAACAUAACAAUAUACAGCCUGAUCUCAUUGCUGCAAGCACUGACAGUGACACUGAUAGAGAUCAGCCAGAACACCUGAGAAUUCCCAAUCAGCCAAUGUUAUUCUGAGAAAGGGGAGGGGGGGAGAAGGGAUGGAGAUCCCGUUCCCCACCCACCCGAGGAGGGCUCCCUCACAACUACAAGGAGCAGCAGCGCCACAAAUGUGAUUUGGUACAGGACCGACGAACGAACGAACGAACGCGGGGCGCGGCGCGGCGCGUAACCGACUGGACCCCCGCCGACGCGAGCCGAACCCGCCCCACCGGCCACCGCACGCGAGAUUGCACGGGACGGCGACGCUACAGCUACAGGAGCGGGGAGGUGGCGUCGUACGGGCGCAGGCUGGAGCCGCCGAUCGCCAGGCAGAGGAGGGGAGGGGGGGGGGGGGGUACUUACUGGGAGUCGGCGUCGGAGCCGCCGGGGCGCGCGGCGAAGGCGCGGGUGGGGAGGGCGGCGACCGCGGCGGGACCGAGCCCGCCGGCGGCGGCGUCGGCCGCGGGGUGGUGGACCUGGACGACGGUGAAGGUGUAGUCGGCCGCGUACCGCGGGAGGACGGCGGCGAGGCGUGAGCGGGCGCGGCGGCGGUGGCGGCGGAGGAGCGCGCAGGCCAGGCGGGAGCAGACGAAGGCGAUGAAGAUUAGGCUGAAGCAGAACCCCGCCAGCGCCAGCGCCAUGCUCGGCGACACGCCCGACGCCAUCCCGCCCCGCGCGCGGGGAGGCUUUCGUUUCGCCCCUUCCCCUCCCUCGGCGGCGGUCGGGGCCGGCCUCCGCGAGUCCCGCCUCCUCCCUCCCCUCCCUCCCUGCCGCCUGCUAGUGCUGCCGCAGCAGCAUCUGCGGGGGGGGUUUGUGGGGACUUUGUGGUGGACCGGACUGGACUGGUCGGCUGGUGGAGGGCCGCCGCCGCCGUGUCGAUGCGGUGCGCACUGGAUACGAUAGCUGCUGCUGCUAGUCUACGAGUGAGUAGUACGCGACCUUGAUGCCUGUUGCCUUUGCGUCCGCGCCGCCCGUUUGUGUGGCCUGCGCGUCUCGCUGCCGUGCCGGUGCCCACUUGCCGAGUUCCGCUUCCCCCUCCCCUCCUUCCUUUCAGGGCGGCGGCGAGGCGAGCAGUCGGCAACGGACGCGCACUAGCGGGAAAGAAACAGAGAACGGGCGCCCGGCGGCGCCGGCGGCUGCGGACACGGAAACGACGACGCAACGUGCACGACAUUUGUUCCACGGAACAAAAUAAUAAAACGUCCAUACAUUUGAAAAAAAAAAGAAGCAGGAGAAUAGAUCAAAAGAUGAUGUGUUCAUAGCACCAUAUUAGCCGCAGAGUCUGUCUCAAUCUGAGGGGUCCCCAUCGAAUGCAAAAUGUAAAAUGCCAGUGAUAAACGUAAAAUGCUAAAAUUUUCAAAAUCAUGUUUAGUUUUAUUCAAAAUACAGAAUUUAUUGUUCUCAUAAAGCCUAUUGAGGCUCAUUUUAGAGUUUUCUAGCCUCUUAUGCCAAAGUUCAAAAUGAAGAAUAACUAUUUUUGUCAAAAUUUUUACAUAUUGUUUAAUUCUAUUUUGCAAAAUAAUAAACCAAAACCUAAAAUUUUUUGAAAAAAAAGAAACUAAACACCCCAAAAUAUGUCGACGCAACAUGCAUUGAUUCGAGCAAGCAUUGAGAGCCAAGCACACGCAUACGCAUGUGUUUCCGCACAAAGAGCAUCAUGUACAGUAUCCAAUUUUCAUGCACCCACGACCAUAAAAAAAGCAUCAGCAAGGACAGGAUAUGUUCUACCACUUGGCUAGAUGAGAAUCCAAAAACUCAUGAGUCUUAUAAAUUUUUCGAUUCCCAUUAUCAUCCUCCAAGAACGUUUGUUUGACUCGCUUGCAUUUCAAAGAACAAUGUCCCCCAUCCUCAUAUCUAAUCUCCAACACACUGGACAUCGCCUGUGCACUUGUAUAUUCUCUUCUUCAAAUGACAUGAGCAACUCCAACAGUUUGGCAAAUUGCACUUGGCAAAUCUCUAUUUUUGCCAAGUCUAAAUCCCAAAUGCCAAGUGGAAAAAAGAGGCCUCUCCAACAGUGAGCUAUUUGGAGUUGGCAAAUUAAAAUUUCGUGGCCCACAAAUUAAACUGCACUUCUUCGACGUCUUCAUGUUGUGUUUCUUGGGUCAUCGGAAUGGAGAGGUCACCGAUGCCAGCAACACCACCUUCUGCUCCAUUGCCACAUCCAUUGAGAAGAAUGUCACUGAGAAAUCCAUCCCCUUCCAUUUGAUCUGAAUGGCAGAAACAUCAAUUUUAGAAACUGCACCAGCAUGAAUCGAGAACAAGAACAUAUAUGCAAUCAAGAACAACAGAUGUACAGCAACAUUCAUAGAGAAGAAGGGCGCCAACAGAAUACUGUAUGUUGAUCUAGGCGCCAACAGAAUACUCUGGUGAAAGGGCGCCAACAUAUGUACAAUCAAACCUAAGCUACAGAUCGAUCUAUGGUGAUAGCUCGAGAUAUACCUAGACACAAACAGAUUGCAUAGAGAUCAAUCUAGCAUCAUCAGACCUAGACCUAGACACCGCCUCCAUCGAUGCUCCUUGAUGGGAUCCAAGCAUAUACAGACCUAGCUGAUCGGAUCCAAGCAUAUACAAUCAGAGAUGAAACGGGAUCGAGGGUACCUUCUGUGCUCGCGCCGUCGAUGGUCCUCGCAACGAAGAAGAGGGGUGUCGUCUCCGUCGCGUCGAGGAAGCUGACUCGCUCGUCCUUCUCCGCGCGUAGCCUGGCAGACGAGAAGGAACGGGACCGAUCGGUCGCGAUAUAUAUUUGCGCGAUCUAUAUUCAUUUGACGGCCGCGGGAAAAAGUUUCACAGUUCGCGCGCGCGGGAGAACAUGCCACGGGCCGAAAACCGCGAUUUGCCAAGUCCACCGAAGCGCGCAUAUAUGCGCCGGUUGGGAGAGAAUUUGCCAACCUUGGAUUUUUGCCAAGUGAUUUUGCCAACUUGUUGGAGAAGCUUUUUCGUGGUUUUGCCAAAAAUCUCAAUUUGCCAAGUGCAUUUGCCAAACUGUUGGAGUUGCUCAGCAAGUAUAUGUCCGCAAAAAAAAAAAAGGUAAGUCUAUAUAUGUAAGAAAACGUUCAACCAGUUCACAGGUUGCCGCGCCAUUAGUAGCAGUGGUGCAGUGAAAAGGAAGAAUAGCGUAUAAAAAAGUUUCGAUAGGAUUUUAGGCCCAGCCAUAAUAAGAAAGAUAAAAAAAAUAAAAAAAAAAGUCAAAUUUUUUUUGGAGAUGCGGGGUAUCGAUCCCCGUGCCUCUCGCAUGCUAAGCGAGCGCUCUACCAUUUGAGCUACACCCCCUGAUGUUGAUUAGCUUCUAGAUUUUCCUAAAUUUAUGAGAAUAUGGUGUUGUGAGUUGUGACCAUACCGCAUGGGCCGAACUGGAUAAAUUUGUUGAUGCUACGAUUUGGCCCACGGGAUUCACUCAAGCUUUCAUUAGAUCGUUGGGCUGGGCCUCCUUUCGCCGUAUAUUAUCUUUAAAAAAAAACAAGCACUGGCCCAUCCAUAGCGACCCUGGCAAAGACUGUGAGAGACGGACAGUCCAGGAUGCGAUGCCUUUGGCAUGGCAGCAAACACAGACCAUCCAUAUGUGUACUCUUGACCUCUUUGUCGACAGAGCACAUGGAUUUCUGCUGCUACUAACAAACCUGUGAUGCAGCAGCCCGGAUUGGUUAGCAAGCAAGCAAGUGGGGUUCCUCUAAAUAAUGUGCACACACAACACAACAUAUGGGGUCCUUUGAAGAACGAAUGUUCGGCCAGGGCUGCCUGCACCCUGCAUGCAUCCCCUGCAAAACUGUGGAUACUAACUGUACACAUGUCUUAGGCCUUAUUUAGUUCCCAAAAAAUUUUGUAAAAAAUUUCAAAUUUCCCGUCAUAUCGAAUCUUGCAGCGCAUGCAUAGAACAUUAAAUAUAGAUAAAAAUAAUAAUUAAUUGUACAGUUUAUCUGUAACAUGUGAGAUAAAUUUUUUGAGUCUUGUUAGUCUAUAAAUAAACAAUAUUUAUCAAAUAUAAAUAAAAUUAUUACAGUGUCAAUUUUAUAAAAAAAUUUAGAACUAGGCCCUGUUUAGUUUCCCACCUAAAAUUUUUUCAUCCAUCCCAUCGAAUCUUUGGACACAUGCAUGGAACAUUAAAUGUACAUAAAAAAAUAAACUAAUUACACAGUUUGGUUGAAAAUCGGGAGACGAAUCUUUUAAGCCUAGUUACUCCAUGAUUAGCCUUAAGUGCUACAGUAACCCACAUGUGCUAAUGACAGAUUAAUUAUGCUUAAUAGAUUUGUCUUGCAGUUUCCUGACGAGCUAUGUAAUUUGUUUUUUUAUUAGUUUCUAAAACCUCUUCCGACAUCGUUCCGACACAUUCAAUGUGACAUAUAAAAAAUUUUCAUCAGCAAUUUAAACAGGGCCUAAACAAGCCCUUACCUAAAAACGGCCCCUGCCAUGUAAGACCCGACAGCCGACCACACAUCCAUCAUCCUGGCUCAGCUGGACCCCGUUCGGAUUCCGUUGAAGAUACCCAGCAGGCAGCCAUCGAAAAGGAAACACAUACACCAUUCUAACCGGUGGAACCGUGCAUGUAGGCAUCCGAAACACAUACUCACUUCGUUCUAAAUUAAAUGUCGUUUUAGAUUUUCGUACUACAAAUUUAAAUCGAUUUAUAAAAUAUAUAUACAAUAUUUAUAUCUCUAAAUAAAUUUAUUGAAAAGCUAAAUUUAAAAAUCUUUUUAAUAAUAUUAAUUAUGUAAUAUAGAUAUUAAUAUUUUUACUAUAUAUUUAGUUCAAGUUAUUUCUCGAAAAACGUAAACGACACUUAUUUUAUUUUAGACGGAGGGAGUACACAUGAUGGCUAGCAAUUUGUGGUUGCCUGUCGAGUGGAUACAGUCUGCAUAAACGGAUGCAGAGCCUGGCUCGAUGAUUUACGGUUAAUAGUUCGCGAAAAGAAUUAGUGUUUGGGCCGGGUACCAUAUCACAUUUAUAAUUAUAUUAUAUAGUGUCUAAUUAUAAAUUAAUUAGGUUUAAAAAAUUUAUCUCAUAAACAAACAUGUAAAUUGUAUAAUUAGUUAUUUUUUAAUUUAUAUUUAAUACUUUAUGUAUGUAUUUUAAAUAUUAAAUGUGAUGAGCAGAAACACUUUAUUUUGUCAUUCCGCAUGGCGUCUGAUACUGGUCCACGCGUCACUGUCGCUUCGAGAAUGUCCGUACAUGCAAGCAAACAUCUCUCUUCUAAUAUGGUUACUGCAUUCGUAGAUGUUGUAGAGGGGUCACCGCAUUCGCCCAUCAUAUAAACACUCGAGGUUUUUUCUUUUUUUUUUAAAAAAAAAGUCACGCCACUGUAUUCACACAGCGUUUUUUCACUCAAACAAUUAAUAGAUAUAUACAUACAUAUGAUGUGGCCACGUGAGAGCAAUCCAAACACUAAUGAUCCACUGACCGGCCGGGAGAAAUGAAGAUAAUUGAGAAAAAAAGAGGUGUUAAAGUUAGUUCUUUUGUUUUAUUUGGUAAUUAGUGUCUAAUUAUAGACUAAUUAGACUCGAAAAAUUAUUUUUAGUUUCAUAAAUACUCUGUAUUUAGUACUCCAUGCGUGUAUCCAAACAUUUGAUAUGACGAAAGUUAAACUUUACCAAUCUAAACCAAAUGGAAAGCAUCUCCAAGAGUUUGCCAAAUAAACUUAACAUCUAUAUUUUUUUUUUGGCAAAAUAAAAAAAAAAUCAAAUUAUAAGAAGUUGUCAAAUCAUGAUAUUUGUCAAGUGACUCUUGGAGAUGCUGAGAGAAGCAGAAAGAUGAGCAUGGGAGAGGAGGGAGCACAACACAACACAAGCUGCUCUCACUCUCACCUACGGGCUACGGGCCCGGGGCUACGACGGCCUACGGACGGAAGGAAACCCAGCUGGCCUGGCCCAUCAUCGGCCGAUCGGUUCGGCUGUGCUGUGCUGUGCUGGCUGGUCCACUCGCUUCUUCUUGUCUCGCUCGGCUCUUUCCGCUUGGACCCGGACAAAUCCCAUCAAGUCCGCGUCACAGUAGUAGGCCCAACAGGGCCUUGUUUACAUGUGAUUUUUUUUUUUGAAUUUGUUACUAUAGCAUCUUCGUUUGUUUGUGAUACAUAUUGUCCAAUCAUAUAUUAACUAGGAUCAAAAGAUUCGUCUCGCAAUUUAUAGGCAAGUUAUAUAAUUAAUUUUUGUUUUCAUCUAUAUUUAAUGCUUUAUACAUGUGGCGUAAGAUUCGAUGUGACACGAAAUUUUGAAAAUAUUGGUUUUGGGUGAACUAAUCAAGGGGAAAAUCUGGGCUCCAUCCGCCUCUGCCCAUUCGUCUCGUCGUCGUCGUGCAAUACUGCUACUACUACGCCGUAGAAUAGACACGCGGUAGCUAGCGCGCGGCUCUAGUCUAGCUAGGUGUGGACUCGUGCCACUGCGUUCGAUGGACGACGGCGCGAGGGUUUUCUUCGUGCGCCGUUACGUUACGUGGCGCCAAACGCAAAAACCGUCCCGACCGGCCUGGAGUUAAACACCCUAGUACGUACUGUACCUGGUUGUUGUUAGGCUAGCUUAGGCGGCCUGAUUGAUUUAUUAUUUUGAUGAUUGAGUUGAUGCGACGACCAUCUGAUUGAGAGUCGUUUGCCUCACAUCUCACGAGACGGAGAUGUUGAGAUGAGAGAUCAUCGACCACGCUUUGCUUUGACAGACAACACCAAAUAAAUGGGUCAAGCGGCCCUGAUGCAUGCACGGGCGGACGGCAAAUAUAAACCGUAGGCUUUCCCGGCCGUAAGCUACAUAAACACACUACUGAUGUUUGAUGAUAAACUAGUGCAAUGCAGAAAAGGCGAGCCAUUAGCUUAGGUCAAAGUCACUGACGCAAGUAAAUUAAUUAAGCAACGGAAAGCUGCAUAUAGCAGGCACAUCCAUCUCUAGCUUGAUCGUAAAGCUGAAUCUAUCUAAUCACAUCCACUUUUAAUUUUAAUCGGAAUGGCAAUCACGGUGGAAUGUUCCUCCGCGUGCACCCAUCCAUUGUGCAACAACCAAGGAAACAAACGAGAUCUCAUCUCGCCUGCCCGGCCCCGUAGAACAGGGCCUCCAUGUUCCCCGGAACUCUCCCAAUUCCAAGCUUCUACUAAUAAUAUAAUAAUAACAUUAUUAUUAAAAAAAGAAAAAAAAACUAGCGGAAACCAGAAACCGAUUACUAGGGCCUUGUUUAGUUCGCAAAAGUUUUUUGUUUUUAGGUACUGUAGCAUUUCGUUUUUAUUUGACAAACAUUGUCCAAUCACGGAGUAACUAGGCUCAAAAGAUUCAUCUCACAAAUUACAAGUAAAUUGUAUAAUUAGUUUUUAUUUUUGUCUAUAUUUAAUGUUCCAUGCAUGCGUCCAAAGAUUCAAUGUGAUGGAGAAUCUUGAAAAUUUUUGCGAACUAAACAAGUCCUAGAAUUAAAACGGGUCUCACGGAAUCCCGGCCCGGCCCAUCACCAUCCAAUCACCGCCCCUUCACCAGUCACCAGGCACCACCUCCUCCCUCGUGUCCCCUUCAAAUUAAAAUCACUCUCCUCUGCCCUGCCCUGCGCUUCUUCACUUCUUCGUCUCCUUCCACCUCCACCCUCCCCUGUCCCUCCCUCACUCCCUCCCUCCUCCCAGGCUCUCCGUCCACCCCGAACCAGCACACUGCCACCGCGCCCAACCGCGAUGCCACCGGACGGCGACAGCGCCGCGGCCACGGGCGCGGACAUCGCGGCGGACGAGCUGCAGAGCCUCAGCUUCGGCUCAUCCUCGGACCGCUCGCGCUCCCGCUCCGCCUCCACGGUCUCCACCGCCACCGCGUCCUGCUCCACCUCCUCGUCAGGCCCACUCCACCACCACCUCUCCCUCCCGGCCCCUCCUUCUCGCCGCACCCCCACCUCCACCACCACCUCCACCACCGCGCUCCCCACGACGCAGAUCCCGCGCCUCGGCGCCGUAUCCCUCUCCGACAUCCGGUUCCUGCGCCGCCUCGGCGCGGGGGACAUUGGCAGCGUGUACCUGGCCGAGGUCAGGCCACCCACCGCCGGCAACAAGGCGGACACGGAGAAGGAGAAGCACCCGCCUACGCCGCCGACACCGCCGAUGGUGGUGGCGGCCAAGGUGAUGGACCGGAAGGAGCUGGAGGGGCGGAACAAGGAAGGCCGCGCCCGCACGGAGCGGGAGAUCCUGGAGGCCGUCGACCACCCGUUCCUGCCCCGCCUCUACGGCGUCGCGGAAGGGGACCGCUGGUCCUGCCUCCUCACCGAGUUCUGCCCCGGCGGCGACCUCCACGUCCUCCGCCAGCGCCAGCCCCACCGACGCUUCUCCGAGUCCGCCGUCAGGUGCGCCGUCGCUCACUCUCGCCUCCCCCCCUGCUGCCAUCUCAAACCUCCGUCCGUCCGCCGCCGCCGCCACCGCCGCCCGUGCUCAUUUCUUCUCACUCGUGCAACAAGGAAAUUCAUUCACCAUUGCAUUUCAAAUCCUUACUAUUACUAGUUAAUGAAUUUCAAGAUCGUGUGAACACCUUUUUUUUAAAAAAAAAACAAAUAGAUGUGUUUUGGGCUCGAUCCGUGGCUAGCGAUUCUAGGCUUUUUUUUUGGAGAAGAAUCAGGCAGGUUUCCUGCGGGGUCGUGAAUUGUGAUUGCCGCGGCGCUCUGUCUGUUUCCUACUACUACUUCCUUGCAUAAUAAAAUUAAAAAUUUUCCUACUAUUCUACUACUUGAUUUUUGUUUCCUUUGUGUACGGUGUUGCUGGUGAUGUAGUUUAAGGAUCCAAGUGGAUGCAGUCGGGGCCCCAUGUGUCUUCGGUUGGGCACGCAUCCGCCUGGUUUCCUCCCUUCCCUCUGAAAACCUGAUGAUGAAUGCGGUUCAUCAUGACCAACACACAGAGAGAGAGAGAGAGAGAGGAACACUACAGCGUAGCAUCAGAUGGCUGCCUUUUGGACGCGUUUGCAAUUUUGCACCACCCAUGACCCAUCCCUGAUGAAAUAAUGGUCCUGGAACAUUCACAAGACCACAAUCAUCAGGGAACUACACCGUUGUUGUACGUAGGUGUGAUGUGACAUGUGGACAACGAGACCUUUGUUUUUUUUCUGAGGGAAAAUUGGAUACUACCUGACUUUUUUUAGAAAUAAAGGCAGCGGAAAUAACGAGGGAAAAAAAAUCAAAAAAAAGAUGGUUUGGAGACCAGAUCAGGAAACACUUGUCCACCAUGGUCACCACCACGUUUGUUAGAGCUCAGUGUCACAGGCUUGUUGUUCGUUAGAGCUCAGUGUCACAGGCUCACAGCAGCACAGUCUAUCGCAUUGCUUUUGUUGCCGUGCAAGCUGCCUCUGCAAGCCUCCGUCGGUACGUACACAGUAACAAGCCGCUAGACGGUGUGCAUGCACGUGCGUACUAUACUCCAGUAUACAUCCUGUAGCGUACGUACAUUCACGGGUGCAGGAUUUUACUCCGGCUCAGCCAAAAGACACGUACAGUACGACUGUACGAGCACCUACGAAGGAAGCUAAAGACUGGACGUAGUAGACACGUGUAGUGGUUGGCUGGUUGCAAACAGUGGCACUUGCUUGUUGUUUGCUACAGUGCUACUACGGCGGGCUCGAUCGAUUGCGGCAUCAUGGCGCGCGUGCGUGCGUGCGUGUGUGUACAGGAUGUCCACGGAGUACUACGUUCGUGCUCGCCCCGCCACGCCUUGUCAGGCACGGUACUGGACUCUCAAUGCAUUGCUAGUACACUACAGUUGACGCGCAGACCUGUACGAGUACAUAUGGGUCGUCCUGCAACGGCAACCGCAACCAGAGCGUUGGCGUACGUACGUCGUCGUCGUCGUCGCGUUCGCACGGGUGACGAAUCCAUGCGCAGCGCCGUGAGACGCGGCAACGGGUUCCAGGACACGCACACGUACUACCUGCCUGCCACCAGUAAUGGCAGUAACCGUAGCCGUAGCGUUGGUAGGCGUCGUCAUCGGCGCAUCAUGGCACGCACAUGAUGGUUCCGGCGGCCCGCGCUGACUGAUGGCGACGGGCACGAGCGCACGAGCGGCGGCGCAGGAGGAGGCACGCUGGCAGUUCCGGCCGGCAGUCCCGCCAGGGAACGUGACAACGUUCACUACCCUAUGCAAUGCAAUCAGUACGCUAGUUACUGAUGCUCUCUGUUUUAAUGGGCUAUAGCCUAUAGGUGAUGAUGCUUGCUUGCUUGCUUGUUAACCUAGUUUGCAUUGGUCAAGGAGGCCUUUUAUUAACCCCCCAUGUGAUCCUCGAGAAUGACAGCUCUCAAACACAUACUACUACUACACGUACGCCUAGGUCUGACUGAGUAAUUAGCUACUGUAGGAUGGGUUCUACUAGGGCUUUUCUUGUAGUAGGCACUAAUCUACUGAUCUCACCUCACCCAGUGAAGGAGGGAGGGAGGGAGGGAUUAAUUAAGUUAACAAUUGAUGCACACAUGCAACUGGCCGGCCAUGCUCAUGCACACAUGGGGGGUAUGACAAGUGCAUUCCUUUGCUGCAAUGAUAAACUAGACCCGUGCAACUUCCAACAGCCAUGAUGCGCCAAUUCGAGCACUGUCCCCGUGCCUUUUCCGCCGUCUGCUGGGCCUGCUAAGCACUUACUACCUGUGACCCUUGUGCUUGCAUGCUGCACUAGUAGAGCUGGAGCAGAGCACAGUCGUAUCCAACAUGCCGGCACUUGAUUCAGACACAGUGUCGUUAGUCGUUGCACAGGUGCGGCGUGCCCGUCUACCGGUCUGGAGACUGGAGUGGGCUCUUUUUUGGUUACAUCACAGACGGGCCAUGCGAACCGCGCUUGCAUGUAACUUUUCUAGCUUAUAAAAAAAAGUAGCUUUUCUAGUACAGUAGACAGUACUGUACAUACGUGAGUAGUAUGCAGCAAUUGCUUUUCAAAUGGAACUUUUUUCGAUAGAUUGUGAGCAAGCAGCUAGUAGUAGUACUUUGCAUGAUGGCAUUGCCAAGUGACGAAAUGUUUAUAGCAAAUCUAGCACUAUAUACUAUAGCUAAAAACGCAUGACUUGCUGACGACACACGCAUGCAUGCAGGUUCUACGCGGCGGAGGUGGUGGCGGCGAUGGAGUACAUCCACAUGAUGGACAUCGUGUACCGCGACCUCAAGCCGGAGAACGUCCUGGUCCGCGCCGACGGCCACAUCAUGCUCACCGACUUCGACCUCUCGCUGAAAUGCGACCCGACGGCUCCAACCCCGGCGCACGUCAUCUCCGACCCGCUCUCCUUCGCCGCCCGUCCGGCCACCUCCACCACCUCCUGCGCCAUCUCCUCCUGCAUCGUCCCCGCCGCCUCCUGCUUCCACCUCUUCCCUGGCCGCCGGCAUCGACGACGACGCUGGCGCGCAGCCAAGAAACCGUCGUCGUCGUCGUCGAACGGCGGCAACAGCAGCGGCGGUAACGGCGGGCUGGAGCUGGAGUUCGUGGCGGAGCCGGUGGAGCUACGGUCCAUGUCGUUCGUGGGCACGCACGAGUACCUGGCGCCCGAGAUCGUGUCCGGGGAAGGGCACGGCAGCUCCGUGGACUGGUGGACGCUGGGCGUCUUCGUCUUCGAGCUCCUCUACGGUGUCACCCCGUUCAAGGGCUACGACAACGAGAUGACGCUGGCCAACAUCGUGGCGCGCGCGCUCGAGUUCCCCCGGGACCCCGCCGUGUCGUCCGCCGCCAGGGACCUCGUCACCGCGCUCCUCGCCAAGGACCCCGCCCGCCGCCUCGGCGCCACCGUCGGCGCCGCGGCGAUCAAGCGCCACCCGUUCUUUGGCGGCGUCAACUGGGCCCUGCUCCGCUGCGCCACCCCGCCCUACGUGCCGCCGCCGUUCAGCGUCGCUAAUAACAAGGCUGGUGGUGGUGGUGGUGGGAGCAAUGGCAAGGGCGGCGACGGCGGCGACGAUGACGGCGACGUGUCGGAGGAUAGUUGUCCUGGCACGCCCGUGGAGUACUACUAAAAGAAGAAGAAGAAGCAGCAGCAGCAGCAGCCAAGGAGAAAGAAGCCGCGGCGGGCCUGCUGGUCGGUCGGUGGGUUCCCGUCGUCUCGCCGGGUUGGGUGGGCCCCAAAGAGGCACGUCUUCUUGUCCGAGUCCGGCGGGGGGGGGGCACGUGGUGGGGGACGGAUGGACCACGGCGCAUGGCGCGCACGAGGCGGGCGGCCGGACGGACGGAGGAGGCAGGGCGCGCUGUCGCCGCGCGCCCCAAGUGGCUGCCGGCCGGCCGGCCGGGUGCGUGUCUCCGAGGGAGCUCGAGCUCGCGUAUACCGCCCCGGCCGCCGGGCCUUCUUAUCAAUAAUAAUAACAUAAUGCCGUUUCUUGUUGCUUCAUGGCUGCAGAGUAUGUUGGGGGUGGGGUGCUGCUUGGAACGCAGGAAAUGUCAGUCAGAAGGUGAACGUCUUGUGUUCCAAGCAGGACCUCGAUCAGAAUCAGUAUCAUGUUGGAAUCGUACUAUCAUUUGUUGUAUUAUGUUUAUCUACUAGUAGUAGUAGUACAAGGCCUUGUUUAGUUCACCCUAAAAACUAAAAACUUUUUAAAAUUUUCUGUCACAUCAAAUCUUACGGCACAUGUAUGGAGUAUUAAAUAUAGGCAAAAACAAAAACAAACUAUAGUUUGCCUGUAAAUCAUGAAAUAAAUCUUUUGAGCCUAGUUAGUCUAUGAUUAGAUAAUAUUUAUCAAAUAAAAAUAAAAAUACUACGCUACCAGAAUCCAAAAUUUUUUCGUACUAUAAACAAGGCCGGCUGUUGUUGGUGAUACUACGCCAGAAUGGUGGUGGGGGAGGGAGACAUGAGAGUAAGUAGGGGUGCUGGGCUGCCGGCCGUGGUAAGGGCAACAAAUGAGUCCGGCCGGGCGCGUGGACUGGGCCAGGGCUCAGGCGUUUGGGCUCCAACUCCAACCGAGGCGAUGAGGAGAGCGGUGGUGGUGGGGAUGGGGGCCCCGGACAUUCCGGCGCGCCGCGCUCGUGCGCGUUGCCGGCGACCGGCGUCGUGCUGAAACACCAGACACCGGUGGGCCGUGGGCAGCAGGUGUGCGCGUUCCAGCGGUGGUGAGGUGGCGCAUCGCCGACCGGCCGGCCGAGAGCUGCCUUUGCCUGUGCUGCUACGUAUAUACAGUACUUAUAAAAGGUAAAAGAUGGGGAGCAUGGGAUCGGAAUGGAUUAUUGAUUCACCAAAGAGGUAAAAGAGCUGGUACACACGGCAAAAGCAGGUGCAUAUACCAGCGUCUGCGUGGGUGGAUAAUAAAGGGAUAAAGUGCUGGCUGACAAAAGGGUGCAGGAACUGCAGUUACAAUGAUCAUGCUAGUAUGUGAGGUGUUGUUCAGUUUCCAAUUUUUUUUUUUUAUUUUCAUAGCACUUUUGUUUUUAUUUGGCAAACAUUAUCCAAUCAAUGAACUAACUAAGCUCAAAAAAUUCAUCUCAUGAUUUACAGUCUAAUUGUGCAAUUAGUUUUUAUUUUUAUCUAUAUUUAAUGUUCUAUGCAUAUAUCGCAAGAUUUGAUAUGACAGAGAAUUUUAAAAAAUUUUGGAUAGUUCUUUGGACUAAGGCCCUGUUUAGUUUCCCACCCAAAAUUUUUUCAUCCAUCCCAUCGAAUCUUUAGACACAUGCAUGGAACAUUAAAUGUAGAUAAAAAAAUAAACUAAUUACACAGUUUAGUUGAGAAUCGCGAGACGAAUCUUUUAAGCCUAGUUACUCCAUGAUUAGCCUUAAGUGCUACAUUAACCUACAUAUGCUAAUGAUAGAUUAAUUAUGCUUAAUAAAUUUGUCUUGAAGUUUCCUGAAGAGCUAUGUAAUUUGUUUUUUUAUUAGUUUUUAAAAAACCCUCCCGACAUCCUUCCGACACAUUCAAUGUGACACUUAAAAAAAUUUUCAUUGCCAAUCUAAACAGGCCCUAAACAAAGCCUGAGUAUGUGACGUGACAUAAAUAAAAUGCAUGCAAUUCGGUCUUCCGUUGACGCGGACGAAAGUCACUAACCCAAAAGCAGGCACCUUCCCUCCAUCCCGAAAAAGAAAAAGAAAAAGAAAAAGAAAAAGAAAAAGAGCAGGGACUCCACCGUGGGAUGUACUCAUGCGAGAACGACGUGAUCAACCUCAGGUGUGUACAGUAAACAUGACAGAGACAUGGAGCCGGGUCCCACUGGCCAUUUAAACAUGAUCCAAACAGCGAAUCUUUUCUUUUUUGGUGUCGAUUAAUGAAUAUUAAUAUUUUUGAAGAAAAUACAGCCACUGAAGAAUCCACCGUAAUAUUGGACCUUUUUUUUUUUGAGUGGACACCGUAUUGUUGGAUGCUUUGACUCCACAGGGAUGAAUCCAAAGAAUGAGCCCAGCAACGCAAGUGUAGGCCUCAUCCAUGUUGGGCUGGUUUCAGCCCGAAAUAUACCAGCCUUUUGGUGGGCUAUUACCGCGUCCUAGAUUUUGGCAGACCGCAUGGAAAAAAAAAACAAAUUCUUAAUUCUGUUUCAAGAACGCCGGGCCUUGUUUAGUUCGCCAUUUUGUAUUUCGCUAACGUAGUACUUUUAUUUUUAUUUAACAAAUAUUAUUCAAUCAUGGACUAACUAGGCUUAAAAGAUUCGUUUCACAAAUUACAGGUAAACUAUGUAAUUAGUUAUCUUUUUUAUUUAUAUUUAAUACUUCAUGUGCCGUAAGAUUUGAUGUGACGAGGAAUCUUGAAAAUUUUUGGGAACUAAAUAAGGCCUGACAAUCUCCUUGAUACUGUGAUCUUCUGGUUAUGAAGCAUACACUACUCUAGAAUUUUCAUCACCGCCGAUUCGGGUGGUUCUAUUAUUGUCGGUUUUUAGUUUCCGCCCUCGGUGGUGAUAAUUAGGCUACAACCAGAAUCACCAUCGGGUUCAGCAAUCAUGCCACAAUGAUAUGCUAAUAUCACCACAGGCUUCAAUAAUCACCCGACGGUGAACAUCAAUUCUUAAAAGAAACUGCUACCAUGGAGGCCACUAAUGCCUUACAUGAUGAUGUUGAUUGUGCGUCCAAGAACGCAAGAGAGGCACGCGAGAUCGAGGAGCGCCACAUCGAGGCUAGGCACAUGUGUGAGCACUAGUUGUUACGACAACAAACGGAGAAACAUAUAGUGUGAUCUCUGAUCUUGAACUCGAUGAUGAACUAGACACAUCCUACGAGCGUGGAGAUAAUGGCUUGGCACUUGUGUGAUGUGCUUCCAGCUAGUGUCUAAUAACUCACUGGUGGAACAUGCACUGCCACACGUUCGGGCAUUAGCACCGGUCGGGAAGGGCCUGUUGCCCCGUUUUCCGAGCCGGUGCUGCCCUUCCGGGACUAAAGGCCCACCCUUUAGUCCCGGUUCGGGCAAUCGGGGCUAAAGCCCCCCUUUAACACCGGUUGGUAACACCAACCGGUGUUAAAGGGUCCUGCCAGGGCUGCCACGUUGCAGGACCCUAUAACACCGGUUGUUAUUACCAACCGGUGUUAAAGGGUUUCUUUUUCUUUUUUUUUUGGUUCACUUCUUCGGUUCUGUUUAUUGUUUAUAUAUAAUAUAUAAUAAUAGGUUUUUCAAUACAUGUUUUGCUGAUACAAUAAUAUAUUUAUAUUACACGCAUAUUAAGCAUAUAUAAAUGAAAAUUAUAGGCUUAGCUUAAUAAUUAAGCUUUGCCUAUAAUAAAAUGAAUAGACCACAUAAAAAAUUAAAUAGAUAUGUAAAAAGCUUUAUAUAUAUAUAUAGUUUUAUAUGUACAAAAUUCGUAACACAUAUAUACAUAGAGUUUUUUCUCCCAAUGUCUACAAACGAUACAAAUGAUCAUCGUUGUUUGGAAUAAGAGUUUCGUUGCCAUUGAAGUGAAACUCGCCGUUUGGAUUGAUCACUUGGUCGCGGAGAAAUCCUGCUAUCGUCUCUUGGAUAGCUUUGAUUCGGUCUUGUUGUAGGACCUUUUCCCUCAGCCAUUCCGUCUUUAAUUUGAAAUAAAUAAAAAAAGGUAUUAGUUAUCUAAGUUAUUCAAUAUAAUUCAGGAGAUAAUGAAAAGAGACAUGUAACAUACUUUGAGCGUCUCUGUGGGUGUUUGAUUGACUUGUGCCAUCAUGAAUUUGCACACGUAAUAUGCACAUAGAUUGUUCCCCCUUCUUGUCUUAAACACCACUGUACGAUAUAUAUAUAUAAAUAUUCACGACCACGACAAUAAGAAGGCUAAAAGUUAGCGAAAUUUUGUUAGCUAGUAGAACUUACUUGUGGAUGUAUUAUGUUAAGCGGCGCUUUACAUCCACUGAGAUGUUCACGGUCAAUGAAUCUUUCCCAAACCAUAUACACAGCCAUUGUAUAUCGUGAACUAAUAAUUACAGAGUCAUAUUAUGAUAUUUUUGUAGCUGAGAUCGACAUUACGUACCUUUGAAUAAUGUUUACCAUUUGUUGAUAAUUUUCUUGUGGUUUUCUCAUUGAGUCAAAGAUUAUCAACCAGUUCUUGGGAAUUUCAAUGACCAUGAGUAUCCAGUGAAAACUGUUUACACACACAUAUAUAUAUAGUCAGUCCUAUAAUAUAAAAUAAAAUAUGCAUGCACUUAAUAACUAUAUAACUCACUCGAAGUUAAAGGGGAAGAGUAUUUUUUGUUUUUCUUUUUGGUUCACAAAGAACCUCAUAAGAUUGGUGCAGACUUCUGUCUCAUGAUCUGCUGUCCACACUGCCUGCGGAGCCUUGAAAACAAUAUAAGGGUCAACGAACCCAAUACUAUUGUCAUUUCUCAUUCUGAGCUCUCUCAUUUGGUGUCUGCAUAUAUACAUACAAAUCCUAAGUGUGUAAGGAUUAUAUACAUGUAAUUAAAGAAGUUAGAAGUAUAAUAAAAAGAAAAAAAUACUUACAGACAAAAGCAGCUGACAAGAGAUUUGUCAAGAGCGUCGAGGUGGCAUAAUUGGUGCAAUUCUUCGAACUGCACGUAUAUGAGGUCAUCUCCACGGAAGUAGUGAUGUUGUCUAAUACGAACAGAAAUCCAAUUAUCUCCCCUUUUAGACGCCUCAAUGCACCAUUUGUUUAUUGCAAACAUUUGUGUGCCGAGCUCGUGUAAACGCUUAGGAUCGAAUAAACUCCUGCCCGGUUCAUAUCUUGCCCUCCAUUGAUCAACUACCUCGGCUUUUUCAAAUGUUUGGCAUCCAAGAAUGGCGGCAAUUUCUUCCAUAUUUAAACCGCUCUGUCCAAAGUAACGCUCAAGCGAGUCUAGCUCAGACGACGCUAAGGGUUUCUUUGGCAUCAAGUUUUCAUUUGAGCCGUAUUGAUUUGGCACAAUCAAAGGGGGCACCGGUUUUGAUACUUCUCCGAGCUGUGGAACCCCUUUCCUACUCUCUUCUUAGUAGGCUGUGAAGACUUGACCAGAGACCGCUCAUAGUCCGAAAGUGCUGGCUUUUUUUGAGCUUCGCGUUGCUUCUUUUGAUGGUCCGCCACCUUCUGCCUCAGUUCGGAUGGCUUCACAUAAAAGUACGGCUUUUCUGGGUUAAGCCGUUUUUUCCUAUCCUCCUUUAUUUUAUAAAAAAAUUGUUGGACCUCAGCUUUGGAUGUAGCAAUUACCUCCUCUUCACUCUUUUCGUAAGGUAAUUUUUCUAGCGUCUUAGCUCUCUUUGCUGAGGCAGCCUUCUUUGGAGGUGGGACCGAUGACUUCGGUCCUUCUUGGGCGGACCGCUUCUUACUACCUCGCUUUGGAGACGAGGGGACCGACCGUGCACUCUUUGGAGAGGGCGGUGCAGGCGGUGGAGGUGGUGGGGCCGAUCUUUUUGGCGUUGGAGAACGCGGUGGAGGCGUUGGAGAACGCGGUGGAGGAGUUGGAGACCUCGGUGGAGGAGGUGGAGACCGUGGUGGAGGCGGUGGCGGGGUCGGUGUGGCCGCCGCAGGUGUUGGAGGAGAUCCAGCAUUGUCACCGUCCGCAGCACUAUGAUGCGCUGGGGAGAGAACUGGACUUAGGUUGGAGGAGUCCCUGCAAAGAAAAUAAUUACAAGUUUUGUGAGUAAACUUUUUUUUAAUUUCAAUACAUAAUAUAUAAUAUAAGAAGUAAAAUCACACACAAACCUAUGCUGAGGAAUAAUUAUGAAGCGCUUGCGCCAACAAAUAAAUGUCUUCUCAGCUUCACCUAAGGUCUUCUCUCCGUCUCCGCCUUCUAUGUCUAGUGGCACAUUGCCACAACCUUUCUCAACCCUAUCAACCGAGACGCUAGCAUAUCCACCAGAUACUGGUCGAUUAUGGAUUCUUGGAGUUCUCGUUCGGUCGAUAGGGUUGACAACAGCGAUAGCCACCUUUUUGGUGGCAUUCCCAUCUGGUACAUGCAGCUCACAGGUAGUAAAAGCCUCUGUGACAUCAUCCACGGGGAAGUGUAGCUUCGUGUCAUCCUGAAUGGUUGGUACUUCCGUGGAUGCGCAGCUGCUUUUCAACUGGCCUGGGGGGCUAACAUUGACCUCAGGCUGUGAUGUACCUUGCCCUUUCGUCAUUUGACUAAGUGCUGCUUGCACUUGCCUUUGAAUCUCUGCCUGCAUCCAUUCUUCACGAGCUUUCUCGCGCUCUUGUGACUGCAGAACAAAAGCUUCCAGGCGGCGGAUCCGCUCUGCCUCCUCAUCCUUCUUUCUCUGACGGCUUCUGUAGGUAUCUUGAUCGGCUUGGAAUGAUUGCAGCCACGGAACUGCCCCAUAGCCUCUCGUACGCCCACCGUGCUCAGGAUUUUCAAGCGCAUAGGUGAGUUCAUCCUUCUCCCUGUUAGGCCUGAACUCACCAGACUGAACCGCCUCUCGUGCACGGACUAGUCUCUCUGCUGCUCUAAAGAUUUCUUGGCCCCAAACUAGCGCCCCGGUGUCUGGGUCCACGCUUCCCCCAUGACCGUAGAACCAAUGCUUGGAGCGCUCGCUCCAAUUCUUUGCUAUUGUCUCGGGUGUGACCCCUCUAGCAAGCAUCUCCUGUUUCAUUCGGUCCCACUUGGGAACAGCACUCUUAUAACCACCUGAUCCCAUAUGAUGGUGGUAUGCCUUUUUGCUGGCAUUCUUUUUGUUUCUAUUGGCUCGUUCCUCGCCCUCUUCUGAUGUUUUGUACAGCACAAAAUCAUCCCAGAAGGCCCUCAGCUUUACAUAUUGCUUGAGGUUGAAAUCUGGAGUCUCGUUUUUCUUGACAUAUUUUGUACAAAGUCUUCUUCCAAUUCUAGAAGAGUACUGUCAUCUUCUUCAUAGUCUAGUCAUAAAUUCGCACCUUCAACUCUUCAUCGUUGGUGUCGAAGGUGAAAACGUCUGUGACGGCUUUCCAAACUAACUUCUUGUCACGAUCAGAGACAAAACUGAUCUCAGGAGCACCUCGCUUCUCUCUCCAUUCACGAGCACUGAUCGGUAUUUGAUAUCUCACAAGAUAUCCACAGUGACUAACAUAUUUAUUUGCAUGCUCACCAAGUGGUCUGUCUGUAGCUAUCUCAAACUCAGAGAUUACAUAGCGGCUCUCCAACGGCUUCUUUGGCCCUCGUGGAGGUACGCUUCUCCCCGUAGAGGUCGAUCCAGAAGGCUACACGUACAUAUAGAAACAAAAAUACUAAAUUAAUAACCAAGUAAUAAGUCUAAAACCUAAUGUAAGAGAUGCAUUAUUUAUAUAUGUUUACAUUUACAUACCUCGCCAGUAUUUUCUUCUUAUUGCACGACAAGUUGUUGCUCAGGGGCAUUGCCCUCUUGUUGCUCAGGGGCAUUGCCCUCUUGUUGCUCAGUAGGAUUGCCUUGCAUGAUGUCAUGGUAAUCAACAAAGUACUGACUACCGUCGCCGAUUAUAUUUUGAAUGGCAGCUUCCAUAUAAUCAGGAUCAUCAUGAGGACGGUCAGCCAUUUCUAUGUCUGCAACCAUAUAUAUAUAUAUUCUAUAUAAGAUAAGAAAUACACUAAUACUACUACAAAUGAAAGUGUUGGAGUGCUCUAAAAAUAAUACUAGGAUCUUUUAAGCCAAGUAAUACAUUAGAAUAAAAAACAAUACUAGAAUAAUAUAUAGUACAAACAAAAAUAUAUACAAAACCCUACUAGAAUAAAUUUGGUGGCUAAACACUACUAGAACAUAUAUUAGAGACUUAUAUACUACUACUAGUACUACUACAAAUGAAAGUGUUGGAGUGCUCUAAAAAUAAUACUAGAAUCUUUUAAGCCAAGUAAUACACUAGAAUAAAAAACAAUACUAGAAUAAUAUAGUACAAACAAUAAUAUAUACAAAACACUAGAAAAUAAAAUAUGAUACAAGAAUAAUAUACAACAAAUAUAUACUAAAAAAACUACUACAAAUAAUAUGUUAAAAAAAUAAUACAUACAUACAUACAAACAAUUAUAAUUCAUACAUACAAACUAUAUAUAUAUGUGUGUAUAUAUGUACAAAAAAUAAUAUACAUACAUACAAAAAAUAAUACAUAUAUACAAAAAAUAAAACAUACAUACAUACUAUAUAUAUACUAGAAUAAUAUAUUAAAAAAAUAAUACAUACAUACAAAAAAUAUUACAAACAAUUAUAAUUCAUACACACAAACUAUAUAUAUGUGUGUAUAUAUGUACAAAAAAUAAUAUACAUACAUACAAAAAAUAUUACAUAUAUAUACAUAAAAAUAUAUACAAAAAAUAAUACUACAAAUCAAAACACCAUAUAUAUAUAUAUAUAUAUAUAUAUAUAUAUAUAUAUAUAUAUAUAUAUAUUUGGUCUAGCUAGUGUAUAUAAAUACUUAAUUAAUCAAUGGCGUUCUCGAUCUAUACUUAGCGCCGGCCGGAGAGAUCAGGAAGAUCGACGUGGGAUGAUGUGUGGCCCGCGCGGAUCUGGCCGUGGCCCGCUGCGGCGGCGCUGGUGGAUCGCCGCGGCGGCGGCGUUGGCGGAGGGCCGCGGCGGCGCUGGUGGAGACGGUGGUCGCGGCGGCGAGGGAGUCGAGAAACGACGGCGGCGAAGACGAUGAACCCAGCGGCGCUGGAACGAAGACGAAGGAACUGCGGAUCCAGGGCAACUGCUUGGUUAUAUAGGGCUGGACCCUUUAGCACCGGUCCGUGGCUGGAACCGGUGCUAAAGGGUCUUUAACACCGGUCGGUAACAAGAGCCGGUGUUAAAGGGUGACCCUUUAGCACCGGCUCGUGUUACCCGCCGGUGCUAAAGGGACCCUUUAGCACUGGUUCCAGCCACGGACCGGUGCUAAAGGGUCCAGCGCGCGCUAGGACGGGCUCCUGAAAUUUUCAGGACCCUUUAGCACCGGUUCCCACUAUGGACCGGUGCUAAAGGCCCAUUUUUUUAGUUUAAGGUUUUUCAAUUGUUUUAUAUAUACAGUUUAUAUUAUAAAUUAUAUAGUAAAUUAAAUAUUUUGCAUAAUAUUUUUUAAACAGUGACAUAUAUUGUAAUUUGUUUUAAUGUACACAUGAAAAUUUUUAAACUUAAAUAGCUUAUUGUAUUUUUAUAAUUUGCAAUGAUUUUGUAAGAAAUGUUUAGUAUUUUGUUAAUGCAAAAAUAUAUUAUUCCAAUAAAUUUACAAAAACUAUAUCCAAUGAACUGGAAAUUUAUUUUCACAUCAUAUUGACGUAAAACUUUUUAUUUUUGUUAUUUAUUACUAGGAAUGCUAGUUGGGUAUAAUUUUCAUCAAAUAAAAAUCAUAUAAAAAUAUAUAUCUUGAUGAACACACCCUUUGACCGAACCCUAGAUUGUCCCAAAUGGAAAAGUCAUGAAUACAAAGUUUGCUACACUCAUCAAGUUCUACAUUUUGUCUAAUGGUCAACUUUUCAUUUGGAAAAGUUUGAACCACUGAAUUUUGAAUUUUCAUAGAACUCAUAGCCACGCAGCGGUUUCGGAACCCUAGAUGGUCUCGAAUGGAAAAGUCAUGAAUAUCAAUAUUGUUCCACUCAUCAAAAUCUACAUUUCAUAUACAGACCAUUUUUGCAUUUGACAAAGUUUUGGGAAGGUGUAGUUGAAAAUCCACAAUUGACACAUAUAGUUUCAUAUAGUUUGUGUGAGAUUCAAGAAUUGGUGGGUAUUGUUAACUUAGUCUUUCUCAAAUGGAAAAGUUGUGUAUAUAAAAAGUUUAGAUCUUGAAGAUAUCUAACAACUUGGUAUUCAAAAUAUUUUCAUUUGAAGUAAUUUAGUUUGUCAUUUGACCAAGUUUGACCAAGUUUGACCAAAACCCGUCUUGGAUUUUAUAGAAAUGUAAUUAGGAUUGGCUCAAAAUUAUCCAAAUGGAAAAAUGGACCAUAUAUAAAAUAUAGAUCUUGAUGAUCUCUAACAACUUUGUAUUCAAAAUUUUUUCAUUUCAAGUCAUCAAAUGGGCUAUUUGACCAAGUUUGACCAAAGUCAAAGCAUCGGUUUUUACAAACACACCCUUUGACCGAACCCUAGAUUGUCCCAAAUGGAAAGGCCAUGAAUACAAAGUUUGCUACACUCAUCAAGUUCUACAUUUUGUCUAAUGGUCAACUUUUCAUUUAGAAAAGUUUGAACCACUGAAUUUUGAAUUUUCAUAGAACUCAUAGCCACGCAGCGGUUUCGGAACCCUAGAUGGUCUCGAAUGGAAAAGUCAUGAAUACCAAUAUUGUUCCACUCAUCAAAAUCUACAUUUCAUAUAUAGACCAGUUUUGGGAAGGUGUAGUUGAAAAUCCACAAUUGACACAUAUAGUCAUGACAAUUUUUGCAUUUGAUGAUCUCUAACAAUUGGAAAAGUCAUGAAUACAAAGUUUGUUACACACAUCAAAAUUCACAAUUCUCAAAUAUAGUUUCAUACAAAGUCAAGCCGACACAACAGUGAACUUCUUCUUGACGUAUGACCCUUGGUUAUGAUCCUGCCGUAACCAUGGAGUAUCCUCAUUGUUUAACAGAAUGCUUGGGUCUUUGUUGACUAUGAAGGGCGGAAUUCGAUCAUCCCUUUCGUAAUCGCCUGACAUGUCUGACUUGUCCUCAAUUCCGACAAUGUUUCUUUUCCCAAAAAGGACAAUGUGGCGCUUUGGCUCAUUGAUGAUUGAGUGGUCAUCAUUUUUUCCUCUCUUUAGUUUCGUAGACAUAUCUUUGACAUAGAACACGUGACUCACGUCUGCAGCAAGGACGAAUGGUUCGUCUUUGAACCCACUAUUGUUAAGGUCCACGGUUGUCAUCUCAUACUCCUUGUCGACUGUUACCCCACCUCCGGUCAUCUUCACCCAUUGGCACCGGAACAAAGGAACUUUAAAAUUAGCUGCAUAGACUAGUUCCCAUAUGUCUUCUAUGCGUCCAUAAUAUGUUUGUCUGUUCCCAUUUGGAUCCGUGGCAUCCACGCGUACACCACUAUUUUGGUUGGUGCUUCUUUUAUCUUGGCCAACUGUGUAAAAUGUGUUACCAUUUAUCUCGUACCCUUUGUAUGUGAGGACAUGCCAUGAUGGUUGCCUGGCGAACAAAUAAAGCUGCUCAUCAAUGUUUUCAUCACCUUGACAUUUUUUGCGCAACCAAUCGCCAAAAGUUUCCAUGUGCUGACGCAUUAUCCAAGCUUCAUUCUUCCCGGGCCACUGGGACCGUAGGAAAUCUUUGUGUACCUCAACAUAUGGUUCCACCAAUGAGGAGUUCUGGAGAACUGUGUAGUGUGCUUUAUUGAAGUAAUCGUUUCCCGUACCAAUAUAUGUUUUCUUCCCAAGUGUUCCCUUUCCGCUGAGUCUGCCCUCGUGUCGAGAUUCAGGAAUGCCAAUUGGGUCAAGGUCUGGAAUAAAGUCAACACAGAACUCUAUGACCUCCUCUGUUCCGUAGCCCUUGGCAAUGCUUCCUUCUGGCCGGGAACGACUAUGGACAUAUUUCUUUAGGACACCCAUAAAUCUCUCGAAGGGGAACAUGUUGUGUAGGAACACAGGACCGAGAAUACGAAUCUCUUUGACCAGAUGAACUAGGAGGUGUGUCAUGAUAUCGAAGAAGGAUGGAGGGAACACCAACUCAAAGCUGACGAGACAUUGAACGACAUCAUUCUGCAGAGUAGCUAGUUGCUUUGGAUUGAUUGCCUUCUGAGAAAUUGCAUUGAGGAAUGCACAUAGCUUUACGGUGGCUAGACGUACGUGUGGAGGUAGAAUUCCUCUUAAAAUGACCGGCAACAAUUGCGUCAUUAGAACAUGACAGUCAUGGGACUUCAAGUUCAGGAAUUUCUUCUCUGGCACAUUAAUUAUUCUCUUGAUAUUGGAGGAGAAUCCAGAUGGGACCUUGAUGCUGCUAAGACAUUCCAACAUGCUUUCCUUCUCUUCUUUGCUCAGAGUGUAGCUAGCAGGGCUUAAGUAAUGACGUCCAUCAUCUGUCUUUUCUGGAUGCAGGUUGUCUCGUUCUUUCAUGCGCUGCAAGUCUUGUCGUGCUUCAAGUGAAUCCUUAGACUUCCCGUAGACACCCAUGAAUCCGAGCAAGUUCACACAAAGAUUCUUUGUCAGGUGCAUCACGUCGAUCGCGUUGCGGACCUCUAGAACAUUCUAGUAAGGUAGCUCCCAAAAUAUGGAUUUCUUCUUCCACAUGGGUACGUGUCCCUUAGCAUCCUUGGGAAUAGGUUCGCUGCCUCGUCCCUUUCCAAAUACCACUUUUAUAUCCUUGACCAUUUCGAGUACAUCAUCCCCGGUUCGAUUGAGAGGUUUGGUCCGGUGGUCUGCCUUGCCUUUAAAAUGCUUGCCUUUCUUUCGUACUGGGUGGUUCACAGGAAGAAACCGACGGUGGCCAAGGUACACGACCUUUCGACAUUUUUUCAAAAAUACACAGUCAAGGUCUUCAUAACAAUGUGUGCAUGCAUUAUAUCCCUUGUUUGACUAGCCUGAAAGAUUACUCAGAGCUGGCCAAUCAUUGAUUGUUACAAACAGCAAUGCUCGCAGGUCAAAGUGCUCUUGUUUGUACUCAUCCCACACGCGAACUCCUGGUUUGCUCCAUAAAAGUUGAAGUUCCUCAACUAAUGGCCUUAGGUAGACAUCUAUGUCAUUGCCAGGUUGCUUCGGUCCUUGGAUAAGCACCGGCAUCAUAAUAAACUUCCGCUUCAUGCAUAGCCAUGGAGGAAGGUUGUAGAUACAUAGAGUAACUGGCCAAGUGCUGUGACUACUGCUCUGCUCACCGAAAGGAUUCAUACCAUCUGUACUUAAGGCGAACCGCAAGUUUCUAGCAUCAUUUGCAAAAUCUGGGAAUUCUCUGUCUAUCGCUCUCCACUGGGAUCCAUCGGCAGGGUGUCUCAACAUAUUGUCUAUCUUACGGUCUUCUUUAUGCCACCGCAACAACUUUGCAUUGUCCUUAUUUCUGAACAGACGUUUUAAUCGUGGUAUUAUAGGAGCAUACCACAUAACCUUGGCUGGAAUUUUCUUCCUAUGACGUUCUUCACCCUCAACAUCGCCAGGAUCAUCUCGUCUAAUCUUAUACCGUGAUGCCUUACAUACUGGACAUGCAUCCAAAUUCUCGUAUUCCUCCCCACGGUAGAGGAUGCAGUCAUUAGGACAUGCGUGUAUCUUCUGGAUUUCUAAUCCCAAAGGGCAGACAACCUGUUUUGCUUCAUAUGUAGUGGUGGGCAAUUGGUUGCCUUUCGGAAGCAUCUUUUUUAUGAUCUUCAAUAACUGCCCAAAUGCCUUGUCAGAUGUACCAUUCUUUGCCUUCCAUUGUAGCAAUUCUAGUGUGGUACCCAGCUUUUUUUGCCCCUCUUCAGCGGUGGGAUAUAGCGAUUUCCUGUGGUCCUCUAGCAUGCGCUCGAACUUGGCUUUCUCUUUAUCACUUUCACAUUCUCUUUGUGCAUCACGGAUGGCAUCACCAAAAGCAUCAUCGCCCCGAUCAUCUUCUGCCGCCACCUCUUCUUCAUUAUCUCCCCCAUUGCAACAUCAUUGAAGCCACCGUACUGAGCAAUAAUAUUGGCAUGGUCCAAUUCUUCUUCUUCUUCUUAUUCACCUUCAUCCAUUAUAAUCCCGCUUUCUCCAUGUUUGGUACAACAAAUAUAGUUUGGUAAGAAACCAGAUUUUAAUAAGUGUGAAUGAAGAGUUCUUGAGUUAGAAUAUUCCGUCAAAUUCUUGCACACGGCACAUGGACAGCACAUGAAACCGUCCCUCUUAUUUGACUCGGCCACACUUAAGAAAUAGUGCACGCCAUUAAUGAACUCUUCGGAGCGCCGAUCGGCAUUAUACAUCCAAUUACGUGUUACCAUCUGCAUUAAAGAUAACAUAUAUAUUAUGAAAACCAUGCACACAUAUAGUUUCUCAUCUUAUUGCACAACAUGUCUAAGAUACAUAGUUGAUUAAUUUAGGAAAGCUUGGCUACAACAAAUACAAUCGCAACUAGCAUUAAAAAAACAAAACUAAAAUGCACUUAAGCAACAUAAUUAGUUCGCGUCCGAUCCCAACUAUAAUAGAUAGAUCAUUCGCUUGAUCAACAUCAUUGAACUCCUUUCGUCGGCUCACUGCCUCACCACCUUCAGCCUCAACCACCUGUGCAAAAGAUUUCUUAAUGUGUUCAAUGUAUUCUUCCUCCCAGUACCAACCUGUACAUCCGCCGGUACCGUCCCACUGAAAUUAAAAGAGAGAAUCAAAAGUUUAAUUAAUAUCAUUUAAAAAAAUAUGCACAUAUAUAAGCAAAUGUCUGGAAAUAACUCACAUUACGAUCUGGACACUUGUAGAAUAUACGACCCUUGUUUACUCCCUCUUUCGACACUUUGUACUCCAUCAAAAUCUUCUGCCCACACUUGCCACAAGUAAUGAGAGGGAGUUCCGGACGGUAUCGCUUUUGAACCCGUUGAGAGACUGAAGACCCGGUCACGGUUGCCAUCUACUAUCCAUACUCAAUUUUUAAAUAAUUAUAAAUUCCACAUUUACUAGUAAACAUGUAUGAUACAAUGAAUAUUAUAUGUAGUAAUAAAAAUAAAUCAAGUGAUAUUAACAAACCAAUUAAUUUGAACUAUCCUACUUUAUAUGAUCAUAAAAAUAUACUAUAAUUCAUUCUUGCAAAAUACAUUAAAACUAGGUCAACCAUGAAAUAUGAUAUAUAUAUGGAUACUAAUUCAUGUGAAUGAUUCAAAAUAACAAAGUGGAUUUGAGCUAAAAAUGAUGGGAACAUCACAAGCCAAAAACAACAUGAAAAAGACAAGAAAGGCUGAAGUUAGUCACCUCCAAGCACAAAGAGACGAUGACGGAGUCGAAGAAGAUCAACGAUGAGCGUUGGAGAUGAAGAACAAAUGAAGAACAAGCAAGAAGAAGCUCCAAGAACAACAAUGGUGCUCUCGGUUUCAAAUGGACAGAGGGGAGGAGGGAGCCGGCCUAUAAACCGGACCUUUAGCACCGGUUCAGGGCAAAAACCGGUGCUAAAGGGUUACCUUUUAGCACCGGUUUGUAACACAAACCGGUGCUAAAGGGUUUGCCUCGGCCCGUGGCUCUGGCCGGUGCUAAAGGGGUCUUUAACCCCGGGCCGCAAAAAGGCUGAGGUUUUUGGCCAUUUUGAGCAUCGACCAAUGCCUCAUUCUGUAGUAGUGAUGGGGCCGUGUCCCUCCACCCCACUCACACAUGGUGAUUUUUUAAAAUAUUUUAUAAAAUUUUCAAUUCCACAUCAUAAUUUUUUCACUCAUUAUAAUGAUAAUAUUGUGUUUUUUUAUGAAUACUAAUACAUAUGCAAAACACAUUAAAAACUAUCGAGACAUACGUACACUUAUGUAUGUUUUUAUCACAUUUACGAGAUGCCAUCAUAUUGUCCGCUCCCUUAAUCAAAAGUCCUGGUUCCGCCACUAGUGCCGUGACCAUUGGCCAGGCCAUAAGGACAAGCAUGAUGAAGACAAUGAGAUUGGCGAAGGCAACGGUGGCAAUGCCCAUGAGCAUGGACAUAGCAUGGUCCACAAGACUGUUAAGGAUCUGUUUGUAUACUUUGAUCUAAAGUUUAGACCAUUUUAGCUUACUUAUGUGGUCUAAAUUUUUUUAAGACUAGCUAAACUUUAGACAUGACUUUGACGUUAUGUUUGGAGCCUCAAGAGUUAAAGUGGUCUAAAAUUUAGUAGCUAAACUUUGGCCAUAGGAUAUAAACAGGGUCUAACACUAUUUCUAUAAUGACUUAAAUCAAUAACUUGUGACAUUAGGUGAACUUUUCAAUAUAGCAAAUUCAAAGAAAGAACCAAGAAAUCCUUCUAGUACACAACACAAUCACAAUACAGCUCUAAAGUUACAUUUUCCAACAUACGAACUGCAUAGGUUUCUUAUUGUCAGUAAUGGUAGUUGAUCCAUGCAGUGCACAUGUGAUGAGAUCGUCUUCUAGGCUUCUAACCUACUAGCCGGGUCAUGACAUUCUUGAGCUUGUGCAAGCAACGGCGUAUGUGGUACUGUUGAUGCCCCUGCUAACAGGUCUACCAUUUCAAGUGCUUGUAUUCUAAGCUCUGUUGGAUAAUCCUUCACACAUCCAAUUCUAGGACCAGCUCCAGUGCUCCAUUUCAGGGACAACUUUAGGCCAAGUUGAUAAGAUUCAGACUCACUCUUGGAUUUAAUCCUCUCAAGAAUUGCCUUCUGAGAGACAUUAGUGUCUUUGGCGCUGUGUAGGCCACCUGAUAAGUUUCUACAGUAUGUCAGCUUUGCUUGUUCUGUUGGAGAAUCCUUGCCUUCAUCAUCUUCCUUUGUGUCUACAGAGAGAACCACUUGCGAAGUAUUGGUAUCAACAACAACAUUUUGUGUUUCAUUAGGCAUUGAAUCGUCAUGGUAGUCUCCUUUGGUGAAUGGCCGCAUCUGAAUAACCAAAAUCAGCUCCAUAUAUAUAAUAAAACCAUCUAGGCAGACAUAUAUAGGUAAGUUAAAGUUAUGGUUGUAUUAGUGUACCUCAAUUUCUUUGACAUUAACUCCAUUUUCUUCUAGAAAUUUCAUGAAAUUGUUGAGAUCCUCUAUGCUUGGUUUGUAGUGACCACUAUAUGCGCAGAUCGACUGAUCAAGAUAAGAUAGUAAGAAAACUAGAAUUGGACAUGUAAACAAACACAAAAUCAAGGAAAAUAUGAAUUAUGAAAAAAAUAUUAUCAUUUGCUCCUGGCCAAAAAGGAAAUAGGGAAACAAAGUCGAUGGUCUAUUGUCCAUUAGCUUGAUAAGUAGAAAAUCCAAAAGUAUAGUAAGAAGUAUACGACAUACCUUAUUGCUAUUAUAACUCCAGAAAUCACAUCAUAUAUUAUUUUUCAAAAGUCCACUAAUCCUAGGUAAAUAUUGCAUAUAACCUAGAAAAUGUAUAAAAUAGACAUGAAAUCAAGAAAUAGCUAGGAAACAAAUACUAGGAUGGGAGAGAGGGGGUGGAUAGCACUAUGUUACAUAAGAAUAUGGUACCAAUAAAGUUUAUUUGAACCAAUAACUAAUUAUAUCACAAUAAAAUACAAAUUUUCAUAGGGCAUUAUUGCACAAAACAAUACUACCUUGAUUACUCCGGCUUGUACAGUAAAUUUCCCAGCCGCUAUGGUGGCACCUCCUGCUAAAAAGCUAGAGUGCUGAAAUACACCUUUCUCCUUCUGGAUGAAUAAAUCAAGUUAUAGAGAUUAGUGGUGAUCCAAAUCAUAUGCUAAACCAAGUAUGAUUAAUUAAAGACGGUUUCUUAGCAAUGCGUGCAUGGAAAUCCUUGUGAAAGUAGACAAGCUACCUUGCCAGCAUAAAGUCUUCUUGUUGUGCUCAUGACAAAAAUCCAAUAAGCCCCUUUAGGACCAUGGCUUGUAUCAAGUGGUACUCCAGACUGCUUAUGGGUAAUCUUUCCCUCAUUGAUAAUGUAUUCAUAGAGCUCACGUUCUUUCUACAAAACAUUUACAAAAUAUAUGAACUUACAACCACUUGCUAAUAGGUUUACUAUAAAUAAAAUGAAGACUCGGAAUUCACUUUUCUAGUUCUUGGUGUUGUGUUGUUUUCCAACUCGAAUGUUUUUAUAUAUGUCAUGAUACGAAGUAGGCCAAGAUAUGCCCAGUGUUGUAGUGUAACAACAAUCGAGACUUGAUGCCUUCUAAAUUGCAGUUUGUAUUACAAGGUAACAUAAAAGUAAUAAAAAUAUUACAAGAAAACCCAACAAAAGUUUGUUGAGCAUGAGUUUUUUUUAAAAAGGAUCAUUUAUGUUUAUACUAAAAGGACAAUGGUAUUUAACUACAAAAUCUUAUCUGAACUAAGGUCAAGGCUUGUGGGUGAACUUCAUCAAGCCCUUAUAUAAUACACCAUCCGCCCCAAAUUAUAAAGCAUUCCAAGAAUCCUAGAGAGUCAAAGCAUCUCAAGUUUGAUCAAAAUUAUAGAAAGAAUUACAAAGAGUUAUGACAUCAAAUAGAUAUACUAUGAAAAUAUAAUUAACAAAAAAUCUAAUGAUACUUAGUUAGUACUAUAAAUAUUAUUAUUUUAUCAUAUAAAUUUAGUUAAACUUGUGAUGCUUUGACUCUCUAAGAUUCUUGGAACGACUUAUAAUUUGAGAUGGAGGGAGUAAUAUAUAUCAUGAUUUUACAUAGAUAUCCAUCUAUAGUAGAACAUUUCUUACUGGACCAAGAUAUCUUAUGCAUUGCUUCUUCAGCAAAGUUCUUGGACACUCGGGAAGAUCCACAUCUUUUCCAUCCCCGACAUCAAGCCUACAAAUAAUUGCAACCUCGCUGAAACUUCCAUGCAAUAACAUUAGCAAUUGAUAUCUCCAAACAUUUUUUUUCUGAUGUAUCUCGAUUGUCAUAUAUAUGUUAUAUGAAAAGUGCAUCAAUUUGUUCCAAAAAUGCAACAUGCACAUAUUACAAGUUCUCACCAAUAGAAGAAGGGCUGACCAGCUUGGCUUUGGCACCAUAAAUUAUAGUAGAAGUGUAGGUUGUGCCCAGAGCGAUGUCGCGAGUCAAUCUACACAAUAACAAAUGUUAUAGUGAUAUAAUGCCACCAUUAAUUAUAAAAUAUUACAAACAAAAAAAAUUACAGAUAGAUAGAAAGAAAUUUGUCUAAGAGCAAUAUGUGGGACUUCUAAUGAUUAGUGUUCACACUAAGUAAACUUUUCAAAUCAAGUGAUAUUGGAAAGUGGCCUCUUUUUCACCCCACAUGUAAGCACAUUAGAAAAUCUUAAGAAUACUAUUGAAGUAAAAUGGAUUUUGUGAAUAAAUACUACUGGGUUUGUACUAAUUGUACUCACAGCCUCGAUCCAGUGCUCAAAAGCCAACUUGAGAGCCUUGGCAUCCCUAGAGAGACCGUGACCCACCUGUGUCAGCACAUAAGUAUGGUCAAAAGUCAUUAAUAUAAUAGCAAUGUAGGAGAACUCCGGAACUAAAGCAGAUAUCCUAAAAUGUAUAAUUAAUCAAGAUUUUCUGAGUUAGCAACAGAGACAACCUUCAAUGCAUUUUGGCUAAUACGAUUCCAAUGUGAGGCAGCAGUCUUAGGCUUGGGUUCGUCGAAGAAGGAGAUAGUGUUGUAGUUAAGUCGGGCAAAGUCCAGUGCUUUCCACCUUCAUUAACCAUCCAAUCCAUAAACCCCUCAAUAUCAAAUUAAAAGUUAUUUAAACACAAAUAAAAAUCAAUUCAGUUUUCUUGGAACACCAGAAUAUUUCAGAAAUGAGAAUUUUUUUUCAUGGAACAAAUCAUACAUAUGAGCACGAACCGGUCUACUUAAACGACUAUACCGUGUUCUGUACUUAUAUGUAUCUGAUAGAAAAAUUGUAGAUUUAUUUAUAUGUUAAAAUAUAAACAUGAUGAUUUUUUAUCUAACAUGUUUUUUUCCAUUCUGGCUUUACACCAAAUUAACUUCAUAACUAGAUGCAAACUAUUUAUUUGAUCACCUCUUAUAUAGGAGUCCAGACAAUUUGCACAAGUGCUACACAGCCUUUUGGGAAGUGCAAGUUGAUAUCUAGAAUCCGCAUUAUAUUUUCUAAACAACAUCUCGAGCAAAAUAUAUGUAAAAAAGGUUAAUAUAAUACACCUGGGCUUGCUGACGUCACCCUCCUAGACUCCUCUUCCCUCUCAAUUCUGUUCUCACUCAUCUCUUUAUCUCUCGCAGGCUCACCCUGCUUCUCACAAAUUUAGUCAAUAUUUCCACACUUUUGUUUUCCAAAAAAAUGUUCUAUGAUAACCCCUCUGAUGUCUGCUAGAUCCUUUUGAAACAUAAAUUUUAUAAAAAGAGGAAGAAAUGUAAAGUCCUUUUUAUAUUUGUUUCGUACAUUUUUUAAUUUCUUAUCAGUUUGAUUUUUUUUUCAUGACUGUGAUAUACUUGUCAAGAUCUUAAAUCUCCAGCUAUAUAAUUGUCACUAUAUACGAAUGUAACUAUUUAAAGAAGGUCUACCUAUAUGUUCAUAUGUAAAAUUGAGCCACUAGAAAAUGGUGGGUCAUAAGUGAGUCUAAUAUAUGAGUGGGCUGUAAAUAUACGCAUAGCCAGUAGAGAGUUGUGUAUUGUUAGCUUUGCUCUAAGUAUACAAGUAUAGUAAGGGACUGUUAGUAGGUUAAAUAUUAAGGUGGAGAAGAGAGAUGACGAUAGAAAAGACAUGUGUGUUGAAAAUUUAUAUAGCCAGCUCAUGCACAGGAAUUAAUAAACUUCAGUCACAUAUGACCUAACUACUAUGUAUAUGAAUAGGCUGAUAAGCGAUGCAAUAUAAUCAACAAAAAGCUGUAUUUAUGUUGUCCCUGCUCCCUAUGAGAAACUACGUACUACGUACAUACGCAAAUUAUUUUUGAAAAGAAAGAAACUACGAAUUAUCAAAUUUGCAAAUGCUUCGGGUUCCUCUUCUCACUUUGUGUCCUCUUUUUAAUCUUCAUCUGGUAUCUUCGAUUCAAUAUUCGAAAAAGAAAAAAGAAAAAUUUGAAAGAAAAAUUAAGAGAAAAUAUAAAACAUGCAUGUGCUCUUAAUUUAUUUUUUAAGCAGAUGCUAUUAUUAACAUGAUUAAUGGUGAUUGGUUAAUAAAUAAAAAGUAUUUAAUGUAAAACUAGUUUUUGUAUUUUAAAUACAUUAUUUGAGGACGAAUUUGAAAUGCUAGAGUACAUUAUAUGACGGAGGGAGUAUGACCUAUUGCCCUACUAAUUUUCCCGCAAAUUUGCCACAGUUUUUUUUUUUUGUCUUCUCUCACAAAGACAUCGCUCCAACGAGGACGACGUGCCUGUCCUGGUGGCAUCGUACGUUGGAGUUUUGUAGCUAGUGACAGUACACAAAAGAACUCAAAGAAGGAUUCAAAACCGUGCCAAAAAUUUGCAAUCGCGCCGAAACUCUCAGAUAAUGGGUGUUUGACUUGUUUCGUUGUUUGUUGUUACCAUACCAGAGCUCCUCGACGACGACGGCGGAGUCGGCGAGCCUCCGCCUGGUCCGGUAGCUGCGGUACACCUUCUGCAGCUUGGUCGCCGCGCCGCCACUCAUCGCGCCGCUCCCCGCCGCCGCCGGGGCCGGCGGGCACCUCGGAGGAUCCGCAGCAUCGUCCGAGCCGGCCGGACGACGCAGAGCCGCCGGCGCCGCCUCCAUUUCCCGACGACUUCGUUCGUUCUCUGAAGAACGAAGGAACGAGCAGCGCAAGAAGUUUUGGUUUGGUUGCCGAGGUCCGAGACAGACGAUAUUAUAUAUGAUGGUAGUGGAGCAUCACAUUCUUCCCACUCGUUUUGGUGCUUUUGUGCUAGCUAGCAGCUCAGGUCAGGUCAGGUCCACGCUGGGAGCAUAGCAUAGGUGCUGGUGCCGGCCGGUCGCUCUCCAUGCCGGAUCGGAGCUCCGGUGGACAGCGUCGUUUGGCCUGCGAAUCACUCAAACGCAGAGGCACGCGUGAGAGCUUAGCAUCGUGUUUCUAUGUGUUAGCGACCCACUGAGAUCGCAACCAUAAGUUUCCCUUCGCCAAGGACCAACGAGGCCGGCGUUCUAGGGUUUAGUCUGUUACAAAAUGGAUGAUGAUCAUUUCUUUUCCACUUCCUCUCCUUAUCUACUCACUAACCAGCACACAGCGAUUACAAGCCCAUUCUGGGCUGAGGGCACGUACGUUCCUUACGCGGGCCCUUGUGCUCUUCCUCUGUAGAUGGGCUUCCUUGGGCUGGCUGAGGUGAGGGUCCGUGACAUCCCCUCCCCCUUGGGAACCGGCUUGACCCCAAGCCGGAGCCUCCGGGAACUGCUGGCGAAGAGCUUCGGCAUCUUCCCAUGUCGCGAGUGAAGCAUCCAGGCCGGACCACUUGAUGAGGACUUGAGGUACCGCCCCGUCGUUCCGCGGGUGUAGGCGGCGUUGGAGCACUGCUUCGGGAACUUGAAGGUUGUCGUCGACGUCCGGCAGGGCCGCAGAUACCGGAGUGGAGGACGGCGGAGCAGGCUUGAGCAGCGACACAUGGAACACGGGGUGGAUGCUCGCCGAUGGAGGGAGUUCGAGCUUGUAGGUGACGGAGCCGAUCUUGUCGACGAUCUUGUACGGCCCGAAGUAGCGGAAGGAGAGCUUCUGGUGAGCUCGAGGCGCCAAGGACGUCUGGACGUACGGCUGCAGCUUGAGGAAGACGUAGUCGCCAACGUUGAAUGAACGCUCCGAGCGGCGCUUGUCCGCCUGACGCUUCAUCCUUUGCUGGGCGCGGUUGAGGUGUUGGCGCACCGCGUCCAGCAUGGUGGCCCUUUCGGCCAUCAUGGCAUCCACAUCGACAUAAGCCGAAACAGAGGAAGCGGAGAUACCGAAGUGGCGAGGAGGGUGUCCGUAGAGUACCUCGAACGGUGAACGCUGCAGGGCGGAGUGGAAGCUGGUGUUGUACCAAAACUCGGCAAGCGGCACCCACUUCACCCAUUGACGUGGGCAAGAGUGGACGAAGCAGCGCAGGUACGUCUCCAAGCAUUGGUUGACGCGCUCCGUUUGACCGUCCGACUGAGGGUGGUACGCAGAGCUCAUGGACAGAGUGGUCUGCGCCAAACGGAACAGCUCACGCCAAAACAGGCUUGUAAACACACGAUCGCGGUCGCUCACGAUGUGUGUCGGCAGACCAUGAAGACGGUAGACGUUGUCGAGGAAAGCCUGAGCAACCUGCGGAGCGGUAAAAGGGUGUAACAGAGGUAUGAAGUGAGCAAAUUUUGAAAAACGAUCCACCACGACGAGGAGGCAAUUGGCUGCGCCGGAGCGAGGAAGACCCUCAAUGAAAUCCAUGGACACCAUUUCCCAAGAUUCAGUCGGUACAGGGAGCGGAGCGAGCAGGCUAGGGUAGCGAGCACGGUCGGGCUUCGCCUGAGCACAGACUGAACAACUGGAGACAAACUGUUUGACAUCACGCUUCAUGCCUCGCCAAGCAAAUAGCCUCUUCAUCUUGCUGAAUGUGACUGGAAAACCAGAAUGACCGCCGACGGCGCUAGCGUGAAGAGCAGACAUGAGCCGCUGCUGCAGAGGUUGGUUAGAGCCAAUCCAGAUCCUGUCCCGCAGUCUGAGAAACCCAUCACGAAGAGUAUAUGGUGGACGGGCCUCUGGGUUGAUUGCAAGGUCACUGAGCAGCUGAAGCGAGAACGGAUCAGACGAGUAGCCGGACAUGACAUCGGACAGCCAAGUUGGGGAGGACGACGAAAUUGCCUGAAGGUGCAGGGGGGCGUAGGGUGCCUGGACAAGGCAUCGGCUGCCAAGUUGGAAGUACCAGGUUUGUAGACAAUCUUGUAUUGCAGACAGGCCAGUUUUGUGUAAAGUUUGAGCUGCCAAGGUGUGUGCAGACGUUGCUCAGUAAGGUGAACCAGGCUGCGAUGAUCCGUGUAUAUCACAAAUUCGCCAUGCUGCAAAUAGGAGCGCCACUGCUCAAUUGCGACUAACACAGCCAAGUAUUCCUUGUCAUAUGUGGAAAGGCCACGGGUACGAGGACCGAGAGCUUUACUGACAAAGGCCAAAGGAUGUCCAUCUUGUAGCAAUACUGCGCCCACACCCAAGUCGCUUGCAUCAGUUUGCAACUGGAAGGGCUUGGAGAAAUCGGGUAAGGCCAGAACCGGCGCAGACACCAGAGCAUUCUGUAAGGUCUUGAAGGAGGUUGUGUGGUCUGCUGUCCACACAAACAGAGUUCCCUUCUUGAGAAGGUCAGUGAGCGGCCGCGCGAUGAUGGCAAAGUGACGGACGAACUUCCGAUAAUAUCCCGCCAAGCCGAGGAAGCUGCGGAGUUGUUUGGCAUCUUGGGGCAGCGGCCAAUCCCGGACAGACUGAAUCUUGGAAGGGUCGGUUGCGACCCCUGCUGCACUGACAACAUGUCCCAAAUACGAUAUCUGCUGUUGUGCAAAGCGGCAUUUGGAGAGCUUGACUUGCCACUUGUCCUGAGCUAGGAGAGUCAGCACCUGGCGCAAGUGGACCAGAUGUUCAGCAAAUGUUUUGCUAUAAAUCAGAAUGUCGUCGAAAAAGACGAGAGCACAGCGACGCAGGAGAGAGUACAGAGUGGAGUUCAUAGCACCCUGAAAAGUGUUUGGAGCACCCGUGAGGCCAAAGGACAUAACCGUGAACUCAAACUAACCCCAAUGUGUUUGAAAAGCCGUCUUGUGCUCCUCCCCUAGAGCUAGGCGGAUUUGAUUGAAGCCUGCCCGCAAAUCAAGGACCGAGAACCACUGAGCUUGAGAGAGUUCGUCCAAGAGUUCAUCCACAAUUGGGAUAGGAAACUUGCUCUUAACAGUUAGGGCAUUGAGCAUCCUGUAAUCCACGCAAAAGCGCCAAGAGUGAUCCUUCUUGCGAACCAAGAGAACAGGGGAGGAGAACGCGCUAGUGCUGGGCUGAAUGAGUCCUGAUUGCAGCAUUUCAGAGACUUGGCGUUCAAUCUCAUCCUUGAGCGCUGGGGCAUAGCGAUAGGGCCUGACAGAUACCGGCUGGGCCCCAGGAAUUAGGGGAAUCUUGUGGUCACAUGCACGCCGAGGUGGAAGGUCAGACCGUUCUGCAAAAACUUCAGCAAAUUCAUCCAGGAGGGACUGUACUGCAGGGUCAACUGGAGGCUUUUGAAAGUCCAGAGCAUCACUGGCAAUGUUGAAGAUUUGCACUACCGAGCAGGAAUCACAAUCAGGAUCUGAAAGCUGAGGCAAGCCUUGAAGAAUGACCUGGGUAGUACCCUGUUGGAACAUGAGCCACUUCUGUUGCCAGUGAACCUUCAUAGGUGAAAAGGCCAUCAAUCAAUCCAUGCCUACAAUCAUAUCGAAGGCGCCCAGGUCAAGCACCUUGAGCGUCGAGUGGAAAGUAUGACCCUGCACAGACCAUUCAGCAGAGGGUAUUUCCUGGGAACACUGCACGGUACCACCAUCAGCUACUUGCACCGAAACAGGUGUUAACAAAGGUUGAACUCCUGGUAACUUGGCUGCCACAGAUGAACUGACAAAAGAAUUGCUGCUGCCAGAAUCAAGCAAAAUAAGCACAGAAUGACCGCCAAUGGACCCCUUGAAAACCAAGGACCGAGGGAGACCCUGAGGGGACAGUGCUGCUGAUGAUAACAACAUGAAUGCCUGGGGCGAUGGCUCAGGAGGAGAUUCUGUACUGUCCGAAUCCCAGUCCGAGAAUUCGUCCUGAAACAAAUUCCAUACCUCCUGAAGAGCAUGUAGUUGGAUGUUGGGGGCACACCGGUGUCCGGGUUGCCAACGCUCCGCGCAGCGAACGCAGAGACCGCGGGCCUUGCAGUAGGAGCGAAGUGUUUGAAGACGAUCAUCCAGAUGUCCUGAGCGUGGAGGAGGACGACGCUCCUCCUGGGUCCGCUUGUCGUCAGCCGGGGCAGGGGCAGCAGUACGAGGGGGCUGCGACGGCGAAGCAGCAUGCCCCCCUUUGUACGCUGCGGGCUUGGAGAAGGUGCCCGGAUCAGACUUGCGAACCUCCUUCCGACAGCCCGGCUCGACGGCUUCUUCCUGCAAAAGCGCCAAAGUGCAAGCAGCAUCGAGAGUAGCUGGACGUUGAACAAGAACAAUAGCCCGGAUAUCCUCGCGGAGACCAUCAAUGAAACGAGUAGUAUGGGUGAGGUGAUCUGGGAUAUCAUUGUAGGCCGAGAGUUGUUCAACUAGGUCGACAAAUCGAUCGACAUAGUCUUGGACAGAAGAGGUUUGUUUGAUGUGGAAUAACUGGCGAAUGAGGAGUUCAUGCUGAUCACGGCAAAAACGCUCGCGAAUCAGGCGACAGAAGGAGGGCCAAUCAAUUCCCGUGACUUGGCGCUCAACAGACUGCAACCAGCGACGGGCGGCACCGGUAAAUUGCAUUGUGGAGCACUUCACCCACAUUGACGGGUCGACAGAAUAGAGAUCGAAGUAGUUGUGCGCACAGGUCAUCCAGUAUUGGGGAUCGUCGCCAUCGAACUUGGGGAAAUGCAUUUUAGGUAGGUGGCCGAGAUUUUGGUGGUGGGAAGGGUGGUGGUCGGAAGGUCUGGUGGGCGCACGGACAUAAGCAGAGGAAUCGGGCGGGGGGUCGGGAUUGGGAGGAGGAUACAUACCAUUGGCCGGGUUCGGAACCAUGGUCGUGACCGAGCCAUGGAGCCGUUCCCGUGGAAUCGAUUCGACGCGGUGCCCAUGGUGCCAGUCGACCGUGAAUCCGCCAGAGAGUUGCGCGGCGGCGGCCGACUCGUGACGAAGCCCCGGCUGAGGACGCGGAGGCCAAGUCACCAUGGAUCUGGAUCGGUGGAGGUCGUGGCGGAUGUCGUCGACGUAGCCGUCGAUCUCGGUGCGCCAGGCCUGGAGCUCGCCGACGGACUGCUCCACCGCCUCGACGCGGUCGUCGCGCUCGUCGCGGAUCUCAUUGAGGCGGAUGAGCUCGAGGUCGAACAUGCGCUGCUCGAGGUCGGAGACGCGCGCGUCGAAGUGGGAGCCCCAGUUGUCGGCGACGAUGGCGGCGGUGAACUGGGCGGAGGCGAAGUUCUCGAGCGACAGAAGGCGGGCGUCGACAGACCCCUCGCGCUCCUGGAGGGACGCCGAUGCGUCGUCGAUGCGCUUCUCCAAGCGCUCCCAACGCUCGGCGGAGCGUUUGUCGAAGGAGUCGAACCGCUUGAGCAUUUCGUCGAGCGCCUUGGAGACGACAGGAUCCAUGGCGCCGCGGGCACGCUGCAGACGCGUGAAGUGGUGGUGGGGCGGCGGCGCGGACUCCAGAGCGCGCCGGCGCCUGGAUCGGAGUCUCUGAUACCAGAUAUGUUAGCGACCCACUGAGAUCGCAACCAUAAGUUUCCCUUCGCCAAGGACCAACGAGGCCGGCGUUCUAGGGUUUAGUCUGUUACAAAAUGGAUGAUGAUAAUUCCUUUUCCACUUCCUCUCCUUAUCUACUCACUAACCAGCACACAGCGAUUACAAGCCCAUUCUAGGCCGAGGGCACGUACGUUCCUUACGCGGGCCCUUGUGCUCUUCCUCUGUAGAUGGGCUUCCUUGGGCUGGCUGAGGUGAGGGGCCGUGACACUAUGUCCUCAACCCUAACCCUAAUAACCUGACCUCGUGAAGUUGUGCAGGCUCUCAAGGACGGGCAUCAUUUAGUUCUCAGAAAUUUUGCAAAUUUUUUCGAGAUUUUCCGUCACAUCAAAUCUUACGACACAUGCAUAGAUCAUUAAAUAUAGGUAAAAAAAUAACUAAUUAUACAUUUUGUUUGUAAUUUGCAAGACGAAUCUUAUAAGCCUAGUUAGUCUAUGAUUAUAUAAUAAUUGUCAAAUACAAACCGAAAAUAUUACACUAGCCAUUUUGCAAAGUUUUCUAGCCCAAGGCUCCGCCAAGACUGGGUACGUAUCACGAUGGAGAGAAAAACAGAAUCCGAUCCAUGGAUAUAUACUGGUCUCAAAGUGACCAACUUUUAUAAGAGAUAGAAUUUGUACCAUUAUCCAAAAGAAAAACGACAGUGACACAAAUCUAAAGUGUGGCACGCGCCACGUGUUAGAGACAAUGUUGUUAAAAUUCUUCACUAAAUAUAAAUGAUUGUCGAUUUGUCGUACUGAUUAGCUUGCCGUAGUGGCGAAUGCAGCUCAAGAAAUAACCUAGGGUGGACUUAUGCUAUAAAAUUUUGGCAAACCAAUGGCAAUAUAAGCCAAUAAAUUCCUUAAGUUACUUUGGCAACAUAAUAAUUUAACCAAUAUUGAAGUUUUCAGCAUAUAUUUUCUACAUCAAAAUUAGAGAAGUUUGUUCCUUAAAUUAAGAGAAGACAUGCAUACUAAUACUAAUACUUAUAGUUCUAAACUGACUUCAACAAAUUAUUUGAUGAUUCAUCCUUAAUCAAAUUUUAAACAAUUAACUAUGUGAAAAUGGUAAAGAAAAAAUAAAGAUACCUGCAGCCCGACGUAGGUUUUUAGGUUCCGCAAGUUUGUGAAUUAGCGAGAGAGACGACAGGAAAGUCAGAAGUCGAGAAUAGCAAGAAACGUGAGAAAUGCCGAUCGUAUUCUUAUUGCGCUUUGUGGGUUGUGGUUUUCUAUAUAGGCUGAACCACAUAUGAUGGUCCAAUACGUCUAGGUUGUCUUCAACCUGCAUCGAAUACUCCAAAAGCCUUUUCUUUUUUUGUACUAAAGUUUAAAAUUUCUAUGGGGUGUCAGAUCAGCCCAAUAGAACCUAGGGCGGCCGCCCUAGUUCGCUCUAGUGGUGGAUCCGCCUAUGCCUUGCCGUCUCGUUCUUUAGUUUUGCUUUUGAUUUUUUUUUCAGUCUGAGACUAAGACUAUAACUGUAAUAAAUGUUGGUUGUGUGAAUAACUCGUGAAAAAUACCUGAAUAAAGUUUAUUUUUAUAAAAUUUAAUUCAUUUCAUCCUUUUGAUUCAACCUCAACCUUAAUCAAAGCCAAACAAGGAAAAAAUAUGCAUGUAAAAGGGCUUGUAGCCUAGUAGUUAUAAGAGGUUUAGUAGCAUUUCGGUCUUAGGUCGACUCUCCAUAAGAUCAAAUUUAAAUAGACCUGCUUGUGUGUAAGAGUCGUGGCUCCUAGUUUAAAAAAUUCCUGUCGUCGACAAAAGCUGGGUUCAGGAAUUUUCUUGCCUAGCAUGGUUGAAAUCUUCUACUUUAUUAACUACAAUGCUCCGAGGGAGGUCAUGACAAUAAUACUUUCAGAAGCUACAAUAGCUUCAGGAGAGAGGCAAAAAAACUACAUUAGCUCCAAGAGAAAGAAGAUAGGGACCAUGGAAAUUGCUAGAAAAAAGUGAAGAAAACACAGAGUUGUAGGAACAAAAAAAAAUUCUUAUAUUAGAUGGAUAGUAGCUUAGACUUUUCUAUUCAUAUUUAGACCUACUACUACCGCAGCUAUCACGGUUGCCCAAUUUUGCUCUUGAACUAUAAAACCAAUUUUUUUUAAAACCCCUCAACUUUUAAAACCAUUUAUUUUUCUACCUUGGGUGGUUUUGAUUAUGGUUUCGCUAAUGUGGCCCCACAUGAGAGAGGGUAAAUUAGACUAAGUUGAAAGUUUGGGAAGGUAAAUAAGACUAGAAAUAUUGUUUUGAAAAAAUAUCCAAAAAGUCACAUUUUUCCAAAAAUGUAUACAAAUAUUUUUACAUGAAAAUAUAAUACAAUUAAGAAUCCUAAAAUCUAGUUUAAUCUUAGAAAAUUUAUUUUAUCUCAAAAAAAGUAUGUAACUAGUUUUAGUUUUUUUUACUGAAAUCAUGCUCUAUCUUAGGCCGCCUAGCUAGAAAUUGUUUGGAUCUUGAUGGACUCAUUUGCUUCUUAUUUGUUAGUAAAAACUGUAGUUAUUCUAUUAUAAUUAGUCAAUGUUGAUUGUCUGGACUAUGAUAGAAGCCAAUGGAUAUCUUGUCGCGCAUAUGGAUGUAUGCACCCUUUGUUGAAUAUAUUUAUUUAUGUUUUAUAACAUAUUAAAUUUACUUAAGUUCUAAUACAAAUGAAUUAUGGAGCAUAUCAUGUCACAGGGUGUCCACUAACGCUUCUACGUAGUCUGGACGACCAAUAUGACUAACUAUAAUACUCCCUUCAUCCCAAAUUAUAAAAGUUAUUCCAAGAAUCUUGGAGAGUCAAACUUUUCUAAGUUUGACCAAAUUUAUAUGAUAAAAUAAUUAUUAUUAUGAUACCAACUAAGUAUCAUUAGAUUCUUUUUAAAUUAUAUUUUCAUAAUAUACUCACUUUACAUUACAAAUCUUAGUAUUUUUCUCUAUAAAUUUGGUCAAACAUGAAAAUGCUUUGACUCUCCAAGAUUCUUGGAAUGACUUACAAUUUGGGAUGGAGGGAGUAGAUAACAAGAGUUCCAGUAGCAAAUAAGCACCAACAUGAGCCCAUCCAAGACCCAGUCAAUAUCAAGUUAGGCACCAUGAGGAAGAUCAUGGUUUUAUGAGAGAGAGAGAGAAAAAAAAUCUAAAUUAGUUUAAUAACUUUUCAACAUAAAACAAUUUUCCUAAGAUUAAAUAAGAUUUGAGAAACUUUUAAUUACAUUAUUUUCUAUAUAAAACUAUUUUGAUAGAUUUUUAUAAAAUAUUUUUAUAAAAUUUUAGAUAUUUUUAAAAAUAUUUCUAGUCCGGUUUACCUGGAACUUUUGAGUUAUUCUGAGUUAGUCCCCACUGACGUGAUCCAAUAUAACCAAAACCACUAUAAAAAUCAUUAAAGUGAAAAAGGUUUCAAAGUUAGAGAUGGAAAAACUAGUUUUUUUGUUCAAAACAAAAAAGUAAUUAGAGAGGAAAUCGGACGACCGCCAAUAGUUGACGAGUCUAAAUUAUACCUUUUCGUAAAUUUAUAUUAAAAAUGAAACCACAUGGCCGACCUUAUCCAUGCGUGGCCCAUCCCAUCUGCGCUCCGUGCCUCGUCGGCCCCGGCCUGUUCGCGACCUGCGUCUCCCUCCUUGCGGCCGCUCCCAACAAAUCCACAGAGACCAUGGCUGGCGGAACUGGAGCCCCGCCCGACCAGCGCAAGCGCAAGGCUCCGGCCCCCGCCGCAGGCGCCGAGGACGAGGAGGAGGUGGAGGCGGAGGUGGAGGAGCUGGAGAGCGAGGUAGCCGAUCUGGACCGCCGGACCCUCGAGCACCUCCGCCGCACCGCCACGCGCCUCUCCGACGCUGCCUUCUCCCGCCUCGCCGCGCUCCGCCCUCCCGCACGCCUCGGUACGCCCCCCCACCCUCUUCCUGCCAGCCAAGCUACCGUGCUGUGCUAGGGUUUGAGUUGAGACUGCUCCGCGGGUGGAGAUUAAUUUUGGACUAGAAAACACGGGCUAAUUUUGUGUAGGAUACUGGCUAAUAUGAAAAUGCUAGAUGUGUAUGUUUAUAUCCUCAGUAGUGCUUGAAUUGGUGUAUAAUGGUGUAAACUCAUUUGGAAUAUAUACAGCACCAGUGGUUCAAGUUUGCAGUGUACAACUGAAGCAACAAUAUAGGAGGCCCAAAUUAAAAAUGUAAAUAUUGUAUAGAAGUGUCUUAAAUUGUCUAUCAAUAAGAUAAAAAUGUCAAGCAUUGUUUAUUGAUAAUGAGAAACAAACCGCAGAAAGCUUCUUUUUUUUUUAAGAUUUGUAUUGCUUAUUUACAGACAGUGGGCUUGUGUAUGGUCUGUCUAUUUGAUGGAUAAUUUGUGAUUAUUAUGUGAUAUGAUAUAUAUAACAAAAGGUCUUAACCAGAAGUAGUAGUUGUAAUUACUUAGAAAGUGAGAAUAAAAAAAAUGAAUUCUCUAAAUAAAGAGGUACACGUGAUCUGCAUAUUUGUUGCUAAAAAAACGUGAUCUGCAUAAUUUAAUUAGCAAGUUCUAUGCUAUUUGCACAAAGGCCUUGGCACAAAUAAACAAACUGAUCUAGAUUAGAAUUGAGUCCGAGUUAUUGUUUAUAAUGCGUAAAUGUAUGAAGAUAUAUGGCACUUGCAUUGCAAGGAUAUGAAGCUGGGUUGGGCAUAAGUCUCUGAUAUAGUCAUAUGUUCCCAAAAUAGCUAUCAAAGCAUGAAAUUGGUGCAAAGCAGGCACAGUGAAAUCAGCUGUGCAAGGAAUAGUUUGUGGCUUUGUGAACAGAGGAUAUCAAAAUAUAAAUUGGUGAUACCAGAAGUGACACUGCAGUUUAAUAUUACUUCCCUUAUCUCUUUCCACCAGAAGAAUGACAUAUAAUAACUUAAGAUUAAAUGUUCCCAUGAUGCGAUUACCGAUUAUCAUAAAUGGGUGCUUAGAAUAGUAUUCAGAAUCAGUAAAACUCAUGCAAGGACAAGGGACCUACUAAUACAUGGGCAACAUUCUGUAUCUGUUUUUUUUAGAAAUGUCAACAUAUGUGCACAACGUUUUCUUAUAAAUCAAUCUCUCUUAAACCAGCUAUAUAAUUUUUUCAUAUGAAAAUUACUUCACUCAUAGUCAGACUGUACAAGCAAAUAUCAGCAAUUGAAUGGUGAAAUACAUACAAGGCUAUGAGUUGUAGUUCUAUACACUACUGCUAAUAUUUAUAGCUAGCCUUUUUCUCUUUCUUCUCAACGUAUUUGUCCCCUAGUCUUCAAAAACUACAGGUGUUUACAUUGAAAGGUACAGGACACAGCAUGAAAACAUGCAACAGUAACAUAGAUGGCCGAAACCUGUUCGGUGUUCACCUUUCGCUUGGGCUUCAGUACGCGGCCUACUAGGCCCAGCCAUGGUCCAGUCGUUCACUUGUCUGCAGAAGCAUCACUACUCAUCAUUUUCCUCCGUUGUCACAAAAACAGAAGUCAGUCAUGGCCAGGUAUAGAGUAGAGAGGGUAGAGGCAUAGAGGCAUGAUGCUGGGGUGGGGUGCUCACUGGCAGGGAGCUCUGGUGGUCAAGCUCGCCAUACUGAUACUGGUGGAUCCGCCCCUGAUCUGCGUCGUAUAAAUUACUCCCAUUCCAUUCUCCAUGAAAUAUAUGUUUUGAUAUUGCGCUUAUAAACAUGUAGAUGUUACUAUAUUUUUCAAAAAACAUCGUCUGAAGUUAGAGAAGUUUGACAAAGCCAAGGUGAACUAUAAUUUGGGAAGGGGGGGGGGGGGGGGUCUCAAAUGAUUAUAUUAUCUUAAUGUACCAAGUUAUGGUUACACAGUUCAAACACCUAUCAAAAUUUAUAAAUGUCUAAUCAUUUACAUUUGCUGCUGCUUGUUUGCCACAAUUCGCUUGUAUUGCUCAGUUAAUUUCAGAAAAUUUAGAACUCCAACAUUUGUGGAGACAACUGAUGUUUCCUGAGCUCAGCAUGCUUUGAUUUACUAUGUUAUAGUUUUUGUUUAUUACAUUAAUAAUUGCUAAUAUGUCCAUGGAUUUUGCAGAAGUUCCAGCUGUCUCGGAAACAUCAGUUGCUGAAGAUGACCAAGAGCUUGAGAAAGUGAAGAUCCUCAAAUCCAAGAUCAAAGCUAAUAUUGACGAUUUGCCCAAGGUACUUGAGAAAAUAAAUGAAACCAUUGCUCGGUGUGAGAAGUUUUGUUGAUAUGCAUCCAGUGUUUCGAAGAAACUGUAGAGAUUGACACGUCUAAAGCAGAUUGUGUGCUUGUUCAUGGCUAGUUUGCAUCCUGACUUUUUACUGAAUUAUAUGUCUAGAGCAGAUUGUGUAAUGUUUGUAAUCUAUAGUAGUAACUCAUUUCAUCAUGAAGACAGCAAGAACCUUUCUCCCCUUCCAUAUCUCACGCUCCUUCGCCUCCAUCGUCUACCCUGGCUUUACCCUUCACGUGUGUGCUUUUUGUCCUGAAACGGUAUUCUCUUUAGGAGCGGUACGUGUACGUCGAAAUACGGAGCACGAAGAGAAAAAGAAGAUAUGAUUUCUAGGCCUGUCUGCAAUGAUGGGCACCAGGAAGUUGAAGACUGGUGCCGUUUGUCGACGAUGGAGGGGCAUACUGUGAUCAGAGAUGGUUGCUCUUGGUGGAUUAGUGCUGGACGAAGGACCGUGAAACCCGUUGCUCUUGGUGGAUAGUGCUGGACGAAGGACCGUGAAACCCCUACUAGUUGCUAAUAAUUUAGGGAGUAAUUAGUUUUUGUAUUCCUAACCCCAUGUAGCAGUCUGCUGCACGGGGGGCGCCACUCGCGCAUUAUGUUGUGAACUCUGUCUCCUCCUUAUUUAUAUAAUGCCGGGUAACCGAAUCUUAAAAAAAAAGCAAUGAUGGGCUUCAGCACAAAAGCUCUCCACUCUGC
rnacentral:lncRNA from 1 species